UUUUUUGGAAAAGCUUAUCAUCGUUACAAAUACAUAGUCUUAUGCAAAUUUAUACUAUAUAGUGGCAAGAUAGAUAAUACACAACACCGGAAACUGCUGCCCUCUAUGUAUGCCUUUUUUUAAUAUCAACGCAACAUUAUUUUUAUUCAUGAAAUAUAUUACUAAGAAAGAGUGUAUGGUGCAUGAUGAUAUCAUUACGAUUAGUUUCGAGUUUCGUCCUCAGUUUCCACGGCACCAUGACCACCGUGACCACGUCUACCGUGGUUGUGACCACCUCCACCACCAUUGUAACCCUCUCCGCCAUGGUUGUAAACAUGUCCACCUUUUUCAUGAACAUCACCAUCACCGUUGUUAGAAUCAUCACCGUUGUUAGAAUCACCACCGUUGUUAGAACCACCAACAUAGCCUCCAUCUUUGCCAUAAUUUAAGUCAGUCUGUUCAACACUAUCUGAAAAAACAAUAUAUAUUAAUCAUUAUAUCAUUAGAUAAUUAAAAAGGUUUGCUAAAUUAGAUAUAAAAAAAAUAUGGUCCAAGUUAGCAAAUAUGCACAUUUUUAUUUGGACAAAAAUAUCCUUCAUUUUUAUUAUUAAAAACUAAUAGUUUGAGGGUUACUUUAAUAUUUUUAUUUAAAACAUAUUUGUUACCCGACACCAAUUGCUAACUUAGACCCACUUUUAUUUUAUUACAAAUAAAUUAAGGGUCACUUUAGUACUUUUCAUUAAAACAUAUAUUUGUUAACUUGCAUCAAUUUGCUAACUUAGACCCACCUUUAUUUUAUAACAAAUAGCUUGAAGGAUAUUUAAUAUACUAUCACUUACAUUAAUUUAGUUUACACUAGUGGAUAUUUGCUAACUUGGAUCAAAUUGCACCGAUGUGAUAUAAUAUUUGAAUAAUUUACACUGCUUAAAAACUUCUUAUUGAAUAUAGAAUUAUAGCAAAAAAAAAUUUAAUAAAGAAUUAUAGCAAAUUUUAUAAGACUCACAAUUGAAUAUAUAAUUAUAUCAUAUGGAUCAUCUCUGUAAGUUAUAUAUGAAGCAAAUUUGAAAUCGUUUUUUAUAUAACAUUGAAGUGCAUGAAGAUUAACGUUUACAUAGAAAUGAAUUAAUUAAAAUGUAUAAAAUACAUAAUUAAGUAUAAAAGAAUUAUCCUUUAAAAAAGUAGAAAUGAAUUAAAAACAUAUGUCUAAAACGCUCACCCCAAUUAGGAUCCGUGGAAGUUUCGGAUAUCACUGAGGAAAUAAGAACCAUAGCCAAGAGGCCUAGCAUAAGGAUUGCCUUUUUUGAAACCAUUGUUCAAUAUCUGUUCAAAUUUGAUAUUUGGUAGUGAACGAUGAGAAAAGUAGCAAGAAGUGUGCUCUAUAUAUAAUGGAGGGAAGGAGUGAGAUGAUGUAGGGACAUUCACUUGCUAGUUGAGAAGGUAGCUAGUGUGUAAUAAUUCAUUGCUUUUUAGUUUCAUAAUGUACAUGGUCUAUAAUAUCGACCAGAUACAUCUUUUAUGCAAUUAAUCUAAAAAAUAAAAUUUUAUGUAUAAUAAUAAUCGGAUGAUGUAUAUAUUUAUAAAUUUUUAACUAAAAUAAUUGUUUGAUGAUUUUAAUAUCAUUUGUUUUGACUACUUCCUUUCUUUCAAAAUAAGUGAUCUAGUUGAUUGUUUUAAGCAAUUUAUAUAUGUAUAAACAAAAAAAUAUAUAAAAUUUGAUUUUUAAAAAUAUUUGUUGAAACAAAUCUAAAAAUAUCUUAUAUACUGAUAUUUCUCUUUAUAUGGUAGUAGAAAAAGAUUAUCAAAUAUAUUAUGUGAAUUGUGAAUAAUAGAGAAUCACUUAUUUCAUAAUAGAGAGAGUUGUAAAGACCAAAGGCUAUGAAAAAUUGAAAAUGGUGAUGAGGUAUGGCUACUUUCUAUUGGCUGAAAGUGACAUUUUGAAAGCAUACUAUUGGUUCAUACUAGCUAUCUCAUCCCAUGGAGAUACAUGCAUUCAACUUUAUCCAGACACAUUCAUAAUAUGUUUUCUAUAAGUAAUUUUAUUUUUUUUAGCAAAAGAGUAUUACGGAGGUACACUCUAUACUUGAACAUUCACUUAUUAUAUGUUUUCUAUAAUAAUUAAUAAGUGAACUCUAACCAAUAAACUCUACUUGAACAAAAACAAAAAACAUUUUCCUUAAUCAUAUUAUCUCCAUCAAUCUCAUUUUAUUAUUCGCCACUUUGAAUAUACUAUAUACAGAUACACUAAUAUUAUAGCCAUUCUCUAAAGGCUAAUUAUUUCUAUUCUUUUGGUGUUUUUAAGUAAAUUAGCUUUCGUGCUAGUAGCAUUCCAUUUAGCAUGUAAGUAAUUAUACCGGUGUAUGAGAACAAUUUCGUUUUUGACACUAUGCAUAUCUUGCGGUAUUAUGCUUUAAAAAUUUGCUUACAAAAAAAUAUUAAUAGCUAAUAAUGAUAUUUAUUAAAACCGAUAUUCUACUUUUUUUUUCAUUUCUCAUGUAUUUUUUUUAAUUUUCGUGAAAUCAUCAAAAAAAUAUGCUUUAAUUUGUGGGACAAAAAGAGCACUAGAUGAAAAAUAGGUUUUUGCAGCGUCCAAAAGCCUCCUCAAAAAACCUCCCUGAAAUAGGUUCAAGUUCAACCAUCCCGCUUUUAAACCUCCUCAAGCGUUUGCAUUUUUUUUAUGUUUUCAUAAUUAGUGUGAAAAAUAUAAAAAUAAUAAAUUUAAUAAAAAUUAGAUAUAUUAAAACAAAAAUUGUAGUAAGAGAGAAUUAAAAAACAACUUAAAAAUAAAAAAUGGUAAAACAAAUAUUUUAUAGUAAUUUAAAAUUAAAUAUAGAUUAAAUUUAAAAAGGGUUAAAUAUGUUUUUAAUCUCUACAAUAUCACAGAAUUUCUAGUUUAGUUCCUACUCCCUCCGUCCUAAUUUAUAAACAAAAAACACAAAUUCACACUUAUUAAGAAAACAAAAACAUAGUAGUUUGAGAUAUAAUUUUUUGUGUUUUUAUUGGAAUAAGUUUCAUGGAAAAAAAAUUGUGUAGAUUAAAUUUUUUGUGCCUUUAGAUGAAAAAAAAAUAUUGGAUGAUGAUUAAAAUAAAUUAGUUAGAUGAGAUGAGAGAGAAUGAAUGAGCCAUAGGUCAGACUCCCCUAACCAAGAACAAUGCCCAAAAGAGACAAAGCCAUCAUAGACCCGUACCUAGCAUAAAGGACAUCCCACCACAUAAUCAGGCUCUCCAAAAUAAUCAUCCAACAUUACUUACAAGCAUACUUAUAAAAUUCAAAAGAGGAAAAAAUACAAAAUACUUAUAAAUAAAUUCUCAUGAAUAAAGAAAAAUGAAAAAUAUUAUAUAGUUCACCCGUUUUGGUAUUAGAGGAAGUCUCAGUUAAGACCCUCGCUGAAACCCUAGAGGAAAUAAGAACCAUAGCAAAUAGGCCUAGAAUGAGGAUUGCUUUUUUUUGAAUCCAUUGUACUCAAGAGUAUAAAUAAACUACACAAAUCGGUAUUACAAAAGGGAUAUUUGGUAGUGAACAAUAAAAGAGAAUGUGCUCUAUAUGUAGUGGAGGUUGGGAGAUCAAUACUUGGUAGUUGGGAAGGUGGAAUAGUGCUCUAUAUUAAUUCAUUCUUAUCUUCAAAUUCAGAACUGUUUGUUUGUUAGUAAUUUUGAAACCAUUCAUUUUGAGUAUUAAGAAUCGGAGGCUACUUAAUUCGUUGAAAAAAUGAAGCAGUUAUUGUCUAUGCCAAGCCUACUUAAUUCGUUGAAAAUAACAGUAUUGAAAGUAUUGAAAAUAACAGUAUUGAAAAUAACAGUAUCAACCACAUACAUCAUUAAAUAAAUAAACCUAAAAAAUGAAUUUUGUUUAUAUUUUGAUACGGAGUGAGUACUUUUAAUUUUGAAACCAUUCAUUUUGAUAUUUGAGUGGUGAAGGUACAUUCCGAAUAAACACUCUAAACUCUAAACUUUUUUAUAACUUCAACAAAUGAUCUAUCUAUCACUCAAAUUAAAUUUUUAAGGGGUUCUAAAUUGACUAGUUUAAGUGUGAAGAACAAGAAACAUAUGAAUAUGCAAACUAAAAUGCAACAACAUAUUGAACAAGACUUUAAGCUCGGACAUGAGUAAAAAAUACACAACUAAAGGGUUCAAACUCACAUAUUUACUAGGUUAUUGUGAAUUUGGACUCAAAUCUUAAAAAAAAAAAAAAAUAGAUGUGAAGAGCAUAUAUCAAUGACAACCAACAAUCAAACAUUCUCAAGUUACACAACAUAUUUAAAUAUGUGUAAAGUAAAGCCACAAUCAAAGCAUGGAAUAAAGAUAAAAGAGAAGAGAAAUCAACAUAGGAAUACUAUUGUUUACCCAAUUUGCAUUGGUCCAAGAAUGAGCCACAUUUUGGGGAGAGAAAAUAUCUUCAAUCCACUAUCAAUGAUUCAUUGGAAAGAGAUACAGAGAGUUACAUGAAAUUAACUUCAACAAGAUCUUCGAGAGCAAACUUAAUUUCUACUAUUUUUCUACGUACACUCUUCCCUUGAACAAGAGAGUUACCAAGUGACCAAAAAAUUUAGCUUCCAAUGUUUUCCAAAAACAUCCCCUAAGAGGAGAUUAGUUUAUGAAUACGUUAUUUAAUUAUUCCAAUGUUUAUGAAUACGUUAUUUAAUUAUUAACUCUUGAAAGGAAGUCUCAAGUCACAACAAUUCGGGCACACCAUUUCGAAAUACACAUAUUCAUAAAAAGAUAGAAAGAGAAAAUAAUUAAAUAACGUAUACUUUUAAAAUAAUUAAGUAUUUCUUUGUGUUCAGUAUACAUCUCAACCAACACCUAUUGAUUCUUGUAUAAAUAAAAAUGGUGUCUAAGCCUAUCGCACAACGGACCCCUCUCAAACUAAUCACCCAACCAAAAUAGUGUCUUAGCUCCAUUGUCCACCACCCUCACCAAAUUGUCCUAGUAUCCUCGCAACCCACCGUUCAUAUUAACUAUGAGUAGUGAUAUAUGUACAACUCUUUGGUACAACUUUCAUGACAACUUUGGUUUUCUCUCUUUUGAUUGGUCAAAAAUACUAGAGAGAGAAAAAGGAAGAGAGAUAAUAAGAAGAUAAUGUGAGUAUGUGAGAGAAAGUUGUCAAAAAAUUGUUAGAAAAUGGUUGUACAAAUAUCAUUUCUCAUUAACUAUUAUUCAUCAAACUACAUGUUAUUUCUAAGAAAAAAUAAAAAAAUUAGUUUUUAUAUAUAUCUUUUAUUUGGCCAAUUAGCCUAAUGAAUAAAAUUCCACCCUAUUAAAAUGAAAAAAUGGAGAAGGUAGGAAAUUCAACCCCUAUAUAUAUAAUAUAAUAUCCAUGCCAACUGAAUAUGAAAGUCUUUUGCCAAUAUAUAUAUAAAUUAAUAUUCAACUACCUAACAUGUAUGAUUUCUCGAUAAAACAAUAUAUUAACAAAAUAUUAUAGUUUAUUUCAUUUAUUCUUGAUGAUGAGAAAUCAAUAAUAACAUUUUUAUUUAUUUAUAGAGAUAAUAUAAUAUCUCUAAACUAACAUAUAACUUAUUAAUUCAUCUUAAAUUUUAACUUAAAAUACAAUUCAUCAAUCUCAUUAAUAUUAUAGCAUGAGUCAUUAUACUAGUUUUUUUUUUUUUUUUAGUAAAGGUCAUUAUUGUGUAACCAAAAAAUAAAAGAAAAUAUUCUAUAUUAAAAUUUCAGAGCUGCCGUUCCUGUCACAAUUAAUUAAUUUUUCUUUUUAUAUUUUGAUAAUUUCAGAACUCCUUAAGUUCAAAUUGACAGCGAUGAACGAUAAUGAAAGACGCCCACUUAUUUUGAAUUUUUCAUACAAAUGUGUGGCUAGACGUGGCCAUAUAAUUUGUAUUCAUGCGUACCCAUCCGAACCCCGUUUCGAAUAUGAUUUGGACAACUUGAAUUGGAGCUAGACUUGGUUAAACAUAACCAUAAAUCUUUUAUCUAGAUACACACUCAUUAAUAACAAAAAGUAAAGGAGGAAAAAAUAAAUUUUAUUAUUAUUGAAAUUAAUGAAUAAAGUGUCGUGACGGAUUCAGAAAUGUUGACUUGUGGAAACAAAACUUUAUAUAAUACUCCCUCCGGUCCUAUUUACAAGAGAAAUUUGACUUUUUAAAUACAUUGAAUAAUGUAUGUAUCUAGUCAAGAACCUAAUCCAAAUACAUAAAUUAUUUAAUGUAUCUAAAAAGUAAAUUGUUUCUUAUAAAUAGGACCAGAGGGAGUAAAUAUUUAAAGAAAAUUUUUAAUAAUGCAAAAGUGAUAUAAUAAUAACAUCAUUAUCAUUGAGAAAAAUGCUCAAUAUUUAGAAAAAUUAAAGACUCGUCAACAUCUACAAAUUAAAAUUGUUUUUACGUGUCUUUAUAUUCAAAAAAUAUGGUAGAAAUUAAAUUUCAUCUCAAAUGCAUUUACGCAUUCGAUUUUAUGAAAUUCAUGAACAAAACUUUUUUUUAUGGUAUAAAUUUUAAUUUAAUUGAGGCAAUCUAUUAUUUUAAGAGAGAGCAACCAUUAAAAUAUAAAAAAUUUAACAAAUAUAACCAGAAGAGUAGUGGGGGCAGUUUCCCCCAUACCACUCUACCUAGAAUCGUGGUUGAUGAUGUGAUUGUUAAUGUGGUGUGCCUAAAUGCAAAAUAUUUAUUUUUGUUAUCAAGUAAGUAUUGACUCGGUUCGUAUUUUUUACGAUUUCAAAAGACGGUUGUGGCCUCGCCCGUAUCAAAAUUAUAUUAUUACCUCUCUUAAAUUAUAAACUCAUAAACAAAUUCCUAAAUUACAUUCAUACAUUAACUUUUAUUUUUAAGCUCAACCUUAAACAAGUCAUUUCCUCUACUUUUUUUUUUUAGAAAACCAUAUUGUUGAAACAACAUAGUUUUGAGCUUUUUUACUUAUUCUUAAUAGAAAAAAAGAUCAAAUGCCACUUUUGAUCCUUUUAGUUUAACAGAAUUCUCAAGUUAGUCCUUUAAAUUUCGAAAGUUUCAAUUAGGUUCUUUUGGUUUGACAUAAUUCUCAAGUUAGUCCUUUAAGUUUCAAAUAGGUCCUUUUAGUUGAUAAAUUAUUUCACUGUUACCGCUGCUGUCAGUCUCUGUUUAACUAAUGUUAAUGUAGCUGUAAGUUGUUGACUUGAAUCGAAAUGCUGCCUUUUAAUAGCUCGAGGGUGCAUGUCUAAACGCUACGUUUAAUGGUCACAAAUGAUCAUUUAUAGUGCUAAUAAGACAGCUAUUUACAACAAUAAAUGUCUUUCUAGCACUAUUAAACGACAUUUAUAAUACUAGAAUGAUCAUUUGUGACGAUUAAACGUAAUGUUUUGACUCACCGGAGCUUUUAAAAGACAACGUUUUGAUUCAAGUCAACAACUUAACGGCUACAUCAGCAUCAGCUAAUUAUUAACUGACAUGAGGGGGGUAACGGUGAAAUAGUUUAUCAACUAAAAGGACCUAUUUGAAACUUUUGAAACUUAAAGGACUAACUUGAAAAUUAUGUCAAACUAAAAGGACCUAAUUGAAACUUUUGAAACGUAAAGGACUAACUUGAGAAUUAUGUCAAACUAAAAAGACCAAACGUCAUAUUUGGCCUACAAAAAGUACAAAAGUUCACGUGAGAGAAUCGAACAACCCAAAAUGUUUUGUGAACCCUAUUUCUUGAUGAAUCCACGUGAUACACAACUCAGCAAGCCAUCAGAGCAUGCCUCAACGGAGAAAAACGCCGAUAUCUGCAUGGAAACCAACCCCAAAAGGGGUUAUCUUCCAAAAACUACCAGCACAAGGUCAUAGGUGUUCUGGAAUGAGGAUAAUGCGUAGGGGCAGCGCCUCUCAUCGCACCACCGCGCUAGCCGCUACAUCUAAAAGGAACAAAUUUGAAUGAGGGGAAGGCGUUGGAGAGGUGGUCGUUCAAGAGAGAAGCGAGAGAGUACUUUUUGAGAGAGAUAAGGGAGCAUCCUCCUAUCUUCCUAAAGUUACAUGCAUUUCUUAAUUUUGUCUAACAUCCAAUUUACCCUCUAUACCGUAGAUUUUUUUAAAAUACUCCCUCCGGUCCUAUUUACAAGAUAAAGUUGAUUUUUUUGAUACAUUGAAUAAUGUAUGUAUCUAGUCAAGAACCUAAACUAAAUACAUAAAUUAUUUUAUGUAUCUAAAAAGUAAAUUGUCUCUUGUAAAUAGGUCCGAAGGGAGUAUUUACUUUUUUUUGAACAAAGUAAAAUGAGACAUAUAUUAUAAACAAUGGCGAUUUACCGUGCACAAGACAUGCAAAAGGUAAACCGACCAAUCAAAAUACAACAGUAGGGUGCUAAUUUAGAGUAACACCGUAAAAAAGUUACAAAAAAACUACACAAAAACACCCAUGCAGGGAAGUGGGUGUUUCCACCAGUCAUAAUAAGAAUAAAUAAAAGAUAUAUGCGAUGAUUUCAGCCACAUAAACGAGUUCAGCUUCACUUUUUCAGCUAAAGAAGAAGGAUCACAAACCGUUUCUUGGAACACACGGUUAUUUCUUUCCUUCCAAAUGACCCAAGCAGAAGCGAACCAUAUUACUUUCAGAUAAUAAUGAGUGGCUCUAGGAAAGCCGGCCAAAUUAGAAAAUUGUGUAAAAUGCCGCCGAAUAUCACCUGGAAACACCACAGAUAAACCUAACCAAUGCAAAAUAUGAUCCCAAAGCGUACUAAAAAUAUUACAGACACAAAACAAGUGAUUUGCGGUUUCAUAGGCACCACAACCUGACACACAAACCGAGUUAGCUAACAGAAGAACACGCCGAUGAACCAAGUUGUCUCUAGUGGGAAGUCUAUUCCGAAAAAGGCGCCACACAAAUAGUGACACCUUAGAGGGUAUGCUCUUAUGCCAAACAUCUUCAACCAGAGUCUUAUCCACCACAUUACCAUUAUCAGUGAGAAAACGAUAAGCUUCCCGUACCGUAUAACCACGGAUAGGAUCUAACAACCAAAUCCAAGAGUCAUGAACAUUAACCUGCAAAACGACAUUAGAAAGUAACAUAGAACAUUCCUUCACACUUUCCUCCUCCCACGCCAAAAGUCUCCGGCUCCACUCCCACCCCCACCUCCAACCUCCCAACCGUCCCUACUCAUGUCCUCCACCGUACACUCUUUGCGUAAAAACAAAUCAAAAAGACGGGGGAAUUUACAACAUAAAGGUGUAUCCCCCAACCAAUUAUCAUACCAAAAUAAAGUAUCCCUACCAUCUCCUACCCUCCUACGAAUGUUGUCAUCAAACCACCUCCCAACACCCUCACCUAACCCCUCCCUAAUCCUACACACUGACCGCCACCACGGAGAAUCGAGGUGUCCUCCCUCCUCCAACCGUCCCCCUAUCUCACCAUAGCGGGCUUUAAGUACUUUAUACCACAUCCCCUCCUUUUCAUUCAACAUCCUCCAACACCACUUCCGCACCAACGCCAAAUUAAAAGCUCCCAUCCUCCUCACCCCCAACCCUCCGUGCUCCUUUGGAGUACAAAUCGACUCCCAAUUUAUCCAAGCAAUUUUCCUAGAGUCCUCACCCCCACCCCAAAAAAAAAAUUAAAAAUAGAUUCAAUAGAGGAAAUUAUACCUGCGGGGGCUUUGAAAAAGGAAAGAAAGUAAACAGGAAUGGAAGACAGAACAGAUUUCAGAAGAACCAAGCGGCCGCCAAAAGAAAGGAAUUUAUUACUCCACAAGGACAGGCGCGAAACAAUUCGAUCGACAACAGGUUUCCAAAAACUAAGUUUCCUUGGAUCACCACCAAUAGACAACCCUAAAUAGACAAAAUGGAUAGUUCCCCUUCGACAAUUCAUAACCAACGCCGCUUCAGUCAACCACGAAUCCGAAACAUUCACACCCGUCAACAUGCUUUUAAGAAAAUUUACCUUCAACCCCGAAAUCUUUUCAAAUAAUAGCAAGACGGACCUCAUGGUUCUGACGUUCAACCAACUUUUCUCUCCAAUAAUAAGGGUGUCAUCCGCAAACUGCAAAUGAGUUAAAUAAACAUCACCUGAUCGACCAACUUUGUACCCUGAAAACAUAUUAGCAUCAACCACCGCUUUCAUCAACACAUUGAAACCUUCUGUAACCAACAAAAAAAGAAAAGGUGAUAAAGGAUCUCCUUGUCGAAGGCCCCUCUCAAUAGGAAACUCAUUCGCCGGGCUACCAUUAACCAAAACUGAUGUUGUUGCUGUCCCAACACAUUCAUGAAUCCACUUCCGCCAGAGUCUCGGAAAAUUCAUAUUCUCCAUUACCAUGUCCAGAUACCUCAGAUCAACUGAAUCAUACGCCUUUUCGAAGUCAACUUUAAACAACAACAGUUCUUUAUUCAUCCUCUUAGCUUCAUCCACCGCUUCGUUAGCUAUCAAAAUACUGUCAAGAAUCUGUUUCCCCUGAAUAAAAGCCGACUGUGACUCUGACACAACAUUACCCACUACUAAACGGAGACGAUUGGCGAGGACUUUAGCUAGCACCUUAUACAGACAGCCCACUANAGAGAUAGGCCGAAAAUCAUGGAGUCUUUGCGGACUAUUAACUUUUGGAAUUAAAGCUAUAAAAGUUGAGUUUAUACCUUUUGUAAGUUUCCCAUUCCGAUGGAAAUCUACCAAAAACCUCAUAAAGUCAUCUUGAAGCAAAUCCCAAAAUUGUUUGAUGAAACCAAAAUUGAUGCCAUCAGGCCCUGGGCUUUUGAAGCUAUCACAAUCCCACACCGCCUGUUUCACCUCCUCAACUGAAAAAGGUUUUGUCAAAUUCCCAACCUGAACACCAGUUAAUUUUCGAAAAAGAAGAUUCUCCACACCCCACCGAUUAGCCGCACUUGAUUUAAAGUGAGAAGAGAAAUGAUUAAAGACCGCAUUCCGAAUAGCUUGAACACAUUCCAAAUUAACCCCAUCGACAGACACACACCUAAUAGCAUUGUGACGCCGUUUAGCAGACAUAACUCCAUGAAUUUUUUUUGAAUUUGCAUCUCCUUCCUUCAACCACUGCAAUCGAGAAUUUUGCCAGUGUACACUAGUCUGAGUUCGAGCCAAAGAAUGGAGAUUCACAGAUAAAUCACGUAAUUCCAGCACCUCAUUUUCCUGAAGUUCCGACAACUCUGCCUUUGUAUCUAAAAUGGAUAAUUUAUUUUUUACCUCCGACUUCCUUCCAUCUAAAUUCUUAAUAUGCUAACACUUUAGGUGAAAAAAAAGAUUAUACUUUUAUGUUAAAAAAUAAUUUAAAAAUAUUUUUACAUUGUCAAUUAAUAAAGUAAAAAUAUUAAAAUUUGAUUAAAAUUAUUUUUAAAUUCAUAUACAUGAUUGCUUGUGAUUAUUUAAAAAUAGUAAAAAAAUAAUAGUUCAACCGUAUAGUGAAAUUAAACUAAAAAAAAGGUGUACCGCAAUAAUUUCAUUCUCCACCUUUUAUUGAUUUUGUUUUUUCCGGCCCCUCCCACCAUUUAUUUCUGGCUCCACCCGACAAUCAAUUUGUGUCGAGUGUUUAAUCUACACAAUUUUUUUUAUUAUCUACAUUUAUUUAUUUUUUAUUUCAUUAUUAUUUAUCAGUUAAUAAAUACUUCCUUCGGUGUCCCCGUGAGCUUAGCUCAGUUGGUAGGAACAAAUGCAUAAUAUAUGCAGGGGCCAAGGUUCGAACCUCAGAUACACUACUUCUUCACAUUAAAUAUGUGUGAGCUCCAGCCACUAGGCUACCUGACCAAAAAAAAAAAAUACUCCCUCCGAACAUACUUAUAAGAAAUACUAGAAAUCCGACCCGUGCUGACGUCAUAUAACAAUAAAUCAUAAAUCAUACAAAUAGAAGAAAUUUAAUUCCGUUCAAUCAUACAAAGUACACGAUUUAGGAUACAUUCCAAGUCAUACAUAUUAAUAGAAGAACUUUAAUUUCGUUCCAUCAUACAAAGUACACAAUUUAGGAUACAUUACAAAAAACUUCAUGAUAAACAACAUUAGACAUUACAUUAGUGUCUUCACGAUCAUCACAAUUUUGUUUGUUUUUUGGAAACUAAUGCUUCUAAGUUGCAAAGAAAUUGAUGGUUCUUAUCUUACUAUUAUUUUGUUCCCAAUUUGUAAGGUGUUCAACUAAUCAAGCUCAAACCUUAUAAGAGUGAGGUUCAUGGUGUUUUGUUAAAACUUGAAUAUGCAAUUAACAAUGACGGCCCUUUUAUGGUGGUGUUAUUUUAUUAAUAUUUUGACGGUGAUUUAUCAUAGUAAGUGCAACAGAGUGUGAUAUAUAUAUAUAUAUAUAUAUGAGGAUGUAUACUAUGAGAAUGAGUAUUUUAUAUGAGAAUGAUGAGAAUAAUUAUCAAUCAUCAGAUUAAAAAUAAAAGGUUGCGAUUAAAAAUUCUUAUUUAAACAACCCAUGUGCCUCACUUACACUUAGUGUAUCCACAAUACUCAUUCAGCUACCCAUUCAUCGCUUCAUCUUCUUCAAAAUCUCCAUUUUCUGCAACUUUUUCAUCUAUCAAAUCUUCAUUGUAAUUUCUUUCUGCAAACAAAUCCAUAGAAACAUCUCUUUCAUCAACCCAAACAACAUUUUUUGUGUUUGAGAUGUGAAUUGAGGUUUUUGUUUGUUUUUCAAUCAACUUCAAUUAAGUGUAUUCCUGUUUCGAAUGAAUUUCAAAUUUUUGAUUUCAAUCGGAACUCUUGUUUUUGGAUUUUCAAACUGUUGUAUUUGGAUUUCCAAAAUCUAUUAUCUACCGAAGUUGUUACUAGGUUGAGUCGCGACCAGGUCGCUCUCUUUAAGACGUUUCGCGGCACUGCCCAAAAUUGUGCAAGGCAGACUAUCAACCACGCCGCCUCCAGAAUAAAACAAGCCCAGCUACUACUGUUUGAUUAACUAAUGCACUGUAGAAAAUCGUUCGAGAAUUACACCUCCAAAUAUGGUGCUAAGACCACUCUUUAAUACUGAAACCACUUUAAUAUGGUAUUGUUACCACUCUGUUAUGGUGCUGAGACCACUCAAAUAUGGUAUUAACACCAUUCUAACUUUAAGUUCUCCAAACUAUCAAUAUGGUACUACGACCACUCAAAUAUGGUGAUACCACCAUUUCUCCUCAAAUAGAAAAAUAUUGAAAUACUUUUUAUAUAUACCCUUAAGAUCAUUAUUAAUUCCGACGGAACAUUGUUAUUCCAAAUAGGGACUAUGAUCUUAAAAGUACUCUUUAUUCUGAAGGGACAUAUAUUAUCGAAGAGAUUAUGUUUUAAGACCAUUCUUAAUUCCGAAGGGACAUUAAACCGAAAAGGGACUAUGGUCUUAAGAACAGUCUUAAUUCCGAAGGGACAGAAAGGAGUAGAAAAAGGAGAAUGACUUGUCAACACAAGUCGAAUGAGGGAGAAGAGAGGAAAAACACAGAAAACAUCAACUGUGAAUUUCGGUGUGUUUUUGAACUAAGUGGAGUCCUCUAUUUAUAUAGAGAUUCUGUAACUGUUUUAGCAAAAAUUGCGACAACAGUUACUCUAAUGGAUAAGAUUAAAAUGAAGUUUAUCCAUUAAUCAGUUCAACAACACUUGUGAAUAGGAUGAAAAGAAACAAAUCCACAAAAGUGGAGGAAACAAACUAUUGGAUUUGAAUGAAGGAAAUAUAAUAAUAAUUAAAUUAUUAUUCUUAUCACAACCACCAUAAGCUAAAUUUAUGUAAAGUGAUAUUCUCGAAUAAAUUAAUAAUUAAUAUUAUUUUUAUCAUUACCAAGUAUUUAAAAUUAAAUACCACAAUUUAAGCACUACUAAUGUGUGUGUUCUAUUUUAUGUGAGACCCCCACACUCUAUUUUUUCAAUUCACACAACAUUAGAUCAUAGUAUAAUUACUUGGUGUUUAAUCUUCCAAUUUUUUAUCCAACAUCACAUCAAUGUUCCAACAAUUCCCCACUUGAAUUUUAAAAAUGGUUUCAAUAAUAACGUCAAAACGUUUCUAUAAGGUUGCUAAUAAACAAAGGUGUCGCCUACAACUUGAACCUUUGCAUAGCGGAUAAUAUUCUGAUUUAACAAGAGUUGCUUACAGCAUUGAACUCUAUCUCAGACAUAGAACCCACACACAAACCUUUUCCUAAGGUGUAUUCUAAAAGCUCGUGCGUUUUAUGGCCUUGCACGUCUAUCCCGGUUUUAACGAACGUUCUAGGUAUUCUGCCCCGAAUACCAUAGGAAUCGGCCUAAGUUCCACAUUCGUAUAGGUGAGUCUAUCAAGAGUACUCCUGUAGCUAGGUACUCCACUCCACAUAGAGUAUAGAUCUCAUUAAGAGUUUCUAUUAUCUCAUCCUUAUGUCACUGCAGGAAUCAUGCUUUCUUACUUUUCUCAUGCAUGUUCUUUCACUCAUGACUUGUCAUUACCCAUUGAACCUAUUUCUUGGGAUCUCCAAUCAUGUAGGUCGGGUUACCAUUACUAGUGACCUUUGGGCAUUAGUCCCAUAUUCCUAUUGGAUGUGUUUAGGACUUUUUUUCUAGUAAUUCCUUUCGUCAAAGGAUUGACUAAUUCUUUAUUUGUACGUGCACGAUAUACUUUAACCGUUCCUUUUAGAGCUCUCUAAUUAUUCUGUGUUCGUGCCUUAAUUAUCGUUUCUCACCAUUGUGGUAAUGAUUCUCAAUUUUGUAAUAGAUGCAAACUAUCACAAUAAAUUAACACUUCGGACAACGGUUUCACCCACUGAGGGUUCUUAGCUAGCAAGCAUCUUAUCAACUUGCUUCUUCACUAGUUUUCUCUAGUGUUCUCAUCUCAGAAUCAUUCCAUAAUAUCAUUUGUUUCAACAAAUAACUCCUCCAGUGAUGCUCAAUUGGCAGUCACUGGUCGCUUUGAGACUCAUCUGAAGGAUGUUCAAUUUUUUUUUUUAUCUUGUACUACUCAUGUACAAUAUGAUACUUCUCAUUUGUAUCUUGUAACAUUCAAGUACAAUAGGAUACUUCUCAUAAUGUAAUCCUAGAGUCAUAAUCUUCUUAAGGCACCUCAUGACUCUUUCAAUAGCAUGACAAUGCUUCUCAUCUGUCUACUAGUAAACUUGAACAAAAGUCUUACGACGUGGCCAAUGUCGAGUCUAAUACAUUCAAUGGCAUAUAUAAAGACUGCCAAUGAUGCUUACCCUCAAGUGUUCUUGAAAAGCUUUACACUUGCAAGUUUAUAGUCAAAGAAUUACAUUUCCUUAAGAUAUUCUCAACUUUGUGAGAUUCAUCAGAAAAGUUUUCUUUUUUGAUCUAGUAAUCUUGAAACCAAGAAUUACUUCACCUUUGUCUAGGUCUUUCUUAUCAAUGUUGUUGAUAAACAAUGAUUUCACAUAAUUCAUAACAUGAAUCUUUAAACCAAAUAUGAGCAAGUCGUCUUCAUAGAGACAUAUGAUCGUGCAAAUAUUAUUUGUCACUUUCAUUCACUUUAUACUCAUUCGAUAGCAUUAGAAUGUCAAAUUUUUCAUGUCAUUCUUUAAGAGUUUAUUUUUUACCUCACAAAGAAUUAUCUAACUUACAAAACUUGUUUUCUAGUCCAUGAAUCACAAAACCUUCAGGUUGUUUAAUAUAGACUUCUUCUUCUAGUUCACCAUAAAGAAGGCAACUUUCACAUCUAUUUGGAAUACUAUCGAGUUAUGAACGGCGGCAAAAGGGACUAGUACUCUUAUGGAUAUGAUACUAGUGACUGGUGAAUAAGUGUCGAAGAAUACUAUAUUUUUCUGUCUAAAACAUUUGACUACAAGGAGAGCCUUGUAUUCAUUGAACCGUAUCAUCAGGUUUUAGUUCUUUUUCCUAAAAUCCAAAUACAACCGGUUAGUUUGCAACUAUGAGACAAGUCAACCAAGUGUCUUGUUUUGUUAGACUCUAGAAAAUCCAUUUCAUCAUUUAUUGCUUCUUGCCAUAAUUCAGCAUCCAAUAAGGAUAUAGCUUCUUUAAGGCUUAAUGGAUAUUCUUCCAAUGUAUAAACCGAGUUCAUACUCUUUAGCUAUUCUAGCUUUCCUACCUCCUCGAGGUUCUAUAACAUCUGGUACGAUGUUUUCAUAACUAUUUAUGAUUACAUGAAUGUGAUCAAAUAUAGUGCCCCCACUAGUUCUUAAUUUUUAGAAGGGAAUUUAUUUUGCCCCCAAUAAUGUUGUGCUCCCACUAGUGCCCCCACUAUUCUUUAGUUAAAGGGGUAAAUAUAUUUCCAUAGAAAUCGACAUCUUUUAAUUCUAUGAUCACUUUAGCAUUUAAGUCAUAAACUUAUAUGCUUCGCUGUUUAUAGCAUACCUAAUGAAUACACAUUCAUAGGCUCUACUAGUGAGUUCAACUCUCUUGGGAUUCAUAGUCAAAAUAUAGUCCAGACAAUCCCAAGUUAAAAAAUAAGACAAGUUGGAUUGUCUUUUCUUCAAAAAUUUCUUAAUUAGAAUUUUUGUUCUUAGACUUGGGUACUCUAUAAAUUUCAAUUUUCGUUAUAAAAAUUGAACAUAUCAAGCAUAUCAAUUUUAUUUUUCAAAAUUCACAGUCAUCAAUAAAUAUGAUAAAAAUAUCCUUUCAUCAUUUCUACUUUAUGUGCCAUCAAAUUCACACAUAUCAUAAUUUAUUAUGUUUAGAGAUUUAUAUCUCUAAAUUCUGAUUUAUAUGAACUUUUGGUUCAUAUAUCUUGACUGCAAUAAAUAAAAUUGUCUAAUCAUAUAACUUUGGAAUUAAAUCCAAGUUACUCAAGUUUAAAAUUAAACGUUUGUUCACAUGACAAAUUUUGAUAUGUCAAAUAUUAAAAUCACACAACUAAUAAAAUAGAAGGAAAAUUUAUUUUGAACAUACCAUCAAGGACACAUCUUUUCCCACAAUAAUGCAUGAUGCACAAAUCUUUCUUUAAGUUUGAGCUAACUCAGUCUUAUUCAAUAGAAAUCUGAAAUUCAGAUUCUUUCUUAUUUUAAAAGCAUGCAACAAGUUCCAAACCUUAACAUUAGCAUCAAGGGAAAAUGGGUAUUCUAAAUUCUUGCAUUUUAAUAUGCUAACUUGCGACUCUGUAUACCCAACAAUAUGCCAUAAAAGUACCUAUAGCAUUUAUAUAAGGGAACUUCUACGGUACACUCACAAAGUGAGGUGUACCGGUACUCUUGCUCAAUAAUUUUAUAAAUUAACGAUCAUUUUUUGUGAAAUAAAUAACUAUUUAUCAACAUUUAUAUUUUAUAGAACAUUAUUUCAUAAGAAAAAACAUCAUUGCAUUGUUUAUAAGAAUUUUAGUAAUAUUUUUACAUAUUAUCGUAAAAAAAUAAUCAAUGUUCUCGAUUAUGGGUGAUAAAAAUUCAAAAAAUAUUAAUUUUAAUUCGUUGACACUUUUGAUGAAUAAGAUUUAGUUAUUAUAAUUAUAAAUGAUAAAAAAAUAAUUUUUUUUUAUCAAAAAACAACUCAUUUAACUAUUAGUUUAAAGAGUGGAUGUACCGGUACACUCAAAUAUAUUGGAUGUACCAUAGAAUUUCGCUUUUGUAUAAUUCGUUGCAUAAGUAAUAAGUUAUGGCCAUUCUUCUUACUGUUUGAAAAAACUGACAUAGAUUUUUCAAUUCUGGUUACUGUUUUAGUGACAAACUAAACUUGUUUGGUUCUAUAACGAAUAAUUUGUUUUGUAACAAAUUAUAGUCUUAAUCAAAUAUUGUUCGAUUUUUUAUUUUAUUCACGGUAUGAUUUUGAUUUUUGAAAACAAAUUUCAAUCAAAUUCAGAGUCACAUUAGUGAAUUUCUUAGUGUUAUUGUUUAUAACUACAAUCACUUUUUCAGUCAAAAGAUGUAUUUAUAUAGUUUGACACAUUAUUUUUGGAUUUCCAAACUGUUGUAUUUGGAUUUCCAAAUUCUAUUAUCUAACGAAGUUGUUACUAGGUUGAGUCACGACCAGGUCGCUCUCUUUAAGACGUUUUGCGGAACUGCCCAAAAUUGUGCAAGGCAGACUAUCAACCACGCCGCCUCCAGGAUAAAACAAGCCCAGCUACAACUGUUCGAUUAACUACUGCACUGUAGAAAAUCGCUCGAGAAUUACACCUCCAAAUAUGGUUCUAAGACCACUCUUUAAUACUGAAACCACUUUAAUAUGGUAUUGUUACCACUCUGUUAUAGUGUUGAGACCACUCAAAUAUGAUGUUAACACCAUUCUAACUUUAAGUUCUCCAAACUAUCAAUAUGGUAAUACGACAACUCAAAUAUGGUGAUACCACCAUUUCUCCUCAAAUAGAAAAAUAUUAAAAUACUUUUUAUAUAUACCGUUAAGAUCAUUCUUAAUUCCGACGGGACAUUGUUAUUCCAAAUAGGUACUAUGAUCUUAAAAAUACUCUUUAUUCUGAAGGGACAUAUAUUAUCGACGAGACUAUGUUUUAAGACCAUUCUUAAUUCCGAAGGGACAUUAAAACGAAAAGGGACUAUGGUCUUAAGAACACUCUUAAUUCCGAAGGGACAGAAAAGGAGUGAAUAGGCCAAAAACCCCCUGAAAUUGUAACUUUCGUCAAAAAUCCCCCUGAUUUUUAAGAAACUUCAAAAACGCCCCUGAAAUUAUCAAACGUCAGUCAAUUACCCCCCUCCGUUUGUUUUGGCUGUUAAAUGACUAUUUUUUAAUUUCUUUUUGCUUUCUUCAUCUUCUUCCUUCCACUUUUUUCAUCAUCUUCAUCAAUAUUCAUAAAAAAAUCCAGAAAAAUUUUAAGAAACAACAACCAUUAACAACAUCAUCAUUAACAUCACACACUUUAUAAUGAUUCUCUCUCUCUUGUUUGUUACCUUCUUGAAUUAAUCAACAACAACCUUUUGGAAUUCAUCAACAACAAAAUGAAUAAUAGAAAAGAUCAUGAACUUGUUUGAAAAAGAACAAGGUUUAUGAUGAAUAGCAUGGACAACAACAUCAACAGCAACGGUUCUUCUCAUUCUCAUGAUGUUACUGUUCCAUCAUCACUCAUGUCUCCUCUUCAGAAUCAAUCACUUUUUAACCCUCAUUCAAAUGGAUUUCUUUUUUGGAGCAGCGAUGAGAUUACCAACAACAAUGAUCAUCAUCAUCAAUUGUCUCUUGAUCUUUCUGCUACGACCCUUUUGGAUAACAAUGAGCAACAAACAAGAGAAGCUAGUAAUGAGAUGAUGAUGAUGUUGUUAAUGGUUGCUGUUUCUUAAUUUUUUUCUGGAUUUUUUAUAAAUAUUCAUGAAGAUGAUGAAAAAAGUGGAAGGAAGAAGAUGAAGAAAGCAAAAAAAUAAAAAAUAGUCAUUUAACAGCCAAAACAAACGGAUGGGGGUAAUUGACUAACGUUUGGCAAUUUCAGGGGGGUUUUUGACGAAAGCUACAAUUUCAAGGGGGUUUUUGCCUAUUUACUCGACAGAAAAGAGUAGAAAAAGGAGAAGGACUUGUCAACACAAGUCGAAGGAGGGAAAAGAGAGGAAAAACACAGGAAGCAUCAACUAUGAAUUUCGGUGUUAAAAUGAAGUUUAUCCAUUAAUCAGUUCAACAACACUUGUGGGUAGGAUGUAAAGAAACAAAUCCACAAAAGUGGAGGAAACAACUAUUGGAUUUGAAUGAAUGAAAUAUAAUAAUAAUUAUAUUAUUAUUCUUAUCACAACCAACAUAAACUAAAUUUAUGAAAAGUGAUAUUCUCGAAUAAAUUAAUAAUUACUAUUAUUUUUAUCAUUACCAAAUAUUUAAAAUUAAAUACCAUAAUUUAAACACUACUAAUGUGUGUGUUCUAUUUUAUGUGGGACCCCCACACUCUAUUUUUUCAAUUCACACAACAUUAGAUUAAAAUAUAAUUACGAUAUUUAAUCUUCCAAUUUUUCAUCCAACAUCACAUCAAUGUUCCAACAUUUACCAUUGACACGCCAAAAUAUAACUGUUAUAUAAACGAACAUUUCUUUGGUUUUGUUAUACAUAGAUAAAACAGUUAUUUCAUAGUUAAGCAUGGUUGCAAAGCAUUUGCUUUUAAUAGCAGAAAAAAUAAUCAUAUAAUAAGGAACGUCGACCAAUAUUACAUUACCAAAACUUAGAACUCAUCAUAUUAUCUAAUUUAUCUGAAUCUUAUUGCCCUUUUAUAUUUUGUAAAACAAAAGUUUAAGAUGCAAGAACAAAUCUCUUUAAAAAUUAUAAGCAAUUAUAACAUAUGGUAAAAGUAACAAAAACUUUAUAAUUAUAUUAAGCAUGAAGACUCGUACAUAUUGAUUGAAUACAUAGUUCAAUACUGAAAAGAAAAAAAACUAAAAGCACCACAUAAUAGAUCCUUUCAGAAUUUAAAACGCAAAUUGAUACGAAGCUGACAGAUUUCGUAAAUUCCAUUCAUCUUUUUCAAACACGCAUACGACUAACAUAGAGAGUCUUGUUGAAGCCGGGAGCUGGAGCACCGAUCUUUAUCGUUUCACCCUGCUGAAUUCUUCAUGCAUCUACCAUCCUUUUCAACUGAAGCAAGAUUAUUAUGGGAGUAAUGGCUAUACCAGUGAGGAAUUGGUAGGAGAGCAAUGCUAGGAGUGGACGAUCUCCCAUGCUUGAAACAGGUAUGUUACGAAUUUGCUUGGAACAAUGGCAAAUCAAGCUGCUCACGCAACAUGGCUUAUAUAGUGCAAGCAUGGACAUGCGAAAGAGGGAGGGGUUUAAAUCUGCAUAGAGAAGCCGAACUGUUAUGUUUGGAAAAUGUAACAGAUGAUUGAAUUGAAUUGAAUGUCUUAAAUGCAAUGGAAUUUACAUGGCUCGGCUGAACUGAAGGGUUGAGGGUGGGAAACUUCAAUUUCAUAGUGCAAUGCUGAUUAAGAAAAACACUUAGUGGGAAAUAUGAAUUGCGGCUAUAAUGGGAAUUAAAUAACCAAGAAAUUAGUGUUAGGGGAAACUUCAGUUUUUCCUUUUCAUUACAUUGUAACUUACAAAAAAUAGUUAAUAACUACAAAAUGAGAAAUAUGAUUUGCGGCUUGUCAUACCUCAUAUUUGAUUCCGAGUCGGGCUCUCUUCUCUCAAUUAUUCUAUUUACUACUUCUAUUUUUUAAACUUCCAUCUUUUAUUAAUUUUCUUUUUAAUUCUAAAUUGAAUUUUAGUCCCUUGGUCUUAUUUAUCUUUUUAUUUUCCCAUAAAAAUCCAAAAAUAUACAUGUUCAUUCCUUUUUAUUAUUUUUUAAGUGAUAAGUCCAAAAGAAAAGUCCCAAACACAGCUCACAAACAGCUAAUCCCAGCCUGUAAUGUCUCCUCUCCAAGCAACAAAAUUUUGCUCUAUAAAUACAAGCAACCCAUAUCGCAACCAAAUCAAAUCCGUACAAAACCGAACCUCAUCAACAAACCUACACAGAUCCAGAUCAAGAAAAAAAAACAAUAAAAAGGUAGUAACCCUUUUUGUAGAUCUAGGGUCCGUUAAACCUCAUUUCAAAAAACCGUUUUCAAAAAAGAGAGGAGAAGGGAAAGGGUAAUCUUUUGGUAAAAAAAAUCAAAAAAAGGAGGAGUUUUUAACUCCGGCGCGGUGGCGCCGCCGCGAAAACUCGCCGACCACCGCGCCGGAACUAUCUCCGGUAGCCUCUCCUCGUCGAAGAAGAUGAAGAAAUUCUAGAGAGAAGGCAGAGCUUCUCUCUCUAGAAAUGAGAGAAGAGAGAGAAAAAGAAAUAAAAAUGAACAUAAAAAACCGGAGCUGGCUAUUUAUAAAGGGAUUGAACCGGUUCAACCUUUAAACCGGUCUGAACCAGUCUAAUCCAAGCCCACACGCGUCUGGCCUCACCCAAGGCCCAAAUCCUCUUCAUUUUAUUUUCUGCACCCCCCUUUACUGCUCACACACCCUCAGCAUCUCUUUUUUUUUUUUUAAUUUCUUUUUCAUGCAUUUUAAUUCUCUCUCUAUCCAGAUUGCUCUGGUCCUAUAUUAACUGUUAAUAUUAUAUUUUUGUUUAAUUUAAUUAUUCUCUAGAACAAUCUGGUCCUUGUUAAAAUGAACAUAAAAAAGAGAGAAGAGAGAGAAGAAGAAAUAAAAAUGAACAUAAAAAACCGAAGCUGGCUAUUUAUAAAGGGAUUGAACCGGUUCAACCUUUAAACCGGUCUGAACCAGUCUAAUCCAAGCUCACACGCGUCUGGCCUCACCCAAGGCCCAAAUCCUCUUCAUUUUAUUUUCUGCACCCCCCUUUACUACUCACACACCCCCAGCAUCUCAUUUUUUUUUUUAAUUUCUUUUUCAUGCAUUUUAAUUCUCUCUCUAUCCAGAGUGCUCUGGUCCUAUAUUAACUGUUAAUAUUAUAUUUUUGUUUAAUUUAAUUAUUCUCCAGAACAAUCUGGUCCUUGUUAAUUAAAUUAAUCCAGAGUGCUCUGGUCCUAAUUAACUGUUAAUAUUAUAUUUUUGUUUAAUUUAAUUAUUCUCCAGAACAAUCUGGUCCUUGUUAACUAAAUUAAUCCAGAACAAUCUGGUCCUUGUUAAUUAAAUUAAUCCAGAGUGCUCUGGUCCUAAAUUAACUGUUAAUAUUAUAUUUUUGUUAAUCCAGAGUGCUCUGGUCCAAACUUAAAAUGUUAAUAUUUAUUUAUUUUUGUUUAAUUUAAUUAUUCUCCAGAAUAUUCUGGUCCAUGUUAAAAUAACUUCACAAUUCAGCUUAACUUCAUUUUUCUCAUUCUGCUUAUAUAAUUUUCAUAUCUUUAUUCCAAAACAACAAAAAUAUUCAAAUAACAAAUCACAAAAAUAUUUUUUCAUUACAAACCUUGAUUCUCAAAUCAAGUGAUCGUUCUUUUUAUUCUUCUUAAUCAAAUUUCAAAUCAAGUCUAAUUCAACUUCAAGUCAAUUUCUUUCAAUCUAAAAAACACAAACCAAUUCUCAUUCGUCACUUGGCUUUUUAUUUCAAAACCUUUUUCAAAACAUAUAAAAAACACAAAACCAAUCAAACGUCAAUUUCUACCCCGAACUACGAGGUUUUGAUCCCUCACAGGUACGUAGGCAGGGGACCUUGUCCUUCCAAAUGAAUUAAAAAACAAUUUUCUUUUUUUUUCUUUUCAACUUUCAACUAAAAAAUAUUUUUCUUUUUUUCUCUUCAAUUAAAAUCAAUUUUCUUUUCUUUUUCAACUCAUCAUUCAAUUCCAUUUUCCAUCUCUUUAAAAGCAAGCAAGUUGUAGCACCAAAAGUUAAAUAAAAUCAAGAGGUUCUCGUAGAGUACUAUGAAUAUUUAGGGUGCUAAUACCUUCCCUAAAUAUAACCAACCCCCGAACCCUAAAUCUUUUCAAAAUGGAUGGUUUGGAACUUUUUCCCCUUAAAAAAAAAUUUGUUCAGUCGUGAGAUAAAAAGUGAGUCAAAAGUCAAUCAAAUGGCCUUGACGUCCGAAAAAUGGCGCGACACGGCUGUAAUGAGAAUUAAAUAAGCAAGAAAUUAGUGUUAGGAGCAACUUCAAAAAAUAGGAAAAAUUGAGCAAAGGACCUGAAACAACAUAAAGCUUUAAAAAAUAGGAAAAGAUAUUGAAAACAGACGUCGUAAUUGUGAGAAAAAAAUAAGCAUAUCACCUAUCAAGCAGUGAUAGGACAUCAGAGUUUCAAUACCACGACAUUCCAUUGCAAUGAUAGAAAAAUGGACGAGAUUGAAUUUUUUUAAGGCGUAUAGUUGUGAUAAAAAAUUACGGUAUCACUAGAAUCAAGAGGCGCUAAAGCUUUAAGUUGCGUAGGGAGCUUUAAUCAUGCGCAGGAGUCAAAUGUGUGAAUUAAAUGCGAUAGAAUAAAUUCUGAUCGAUUGAUUAGGAAAUGCUCUCAAAUUUGAAAUGAAGUGCUUUAAAUUAUUUAAUGUAUGAAAAACAAUUUGAAAUAAAAUGAAUUUAUUGCGUGUUAAAAGGGUGAGAAGGUCAAACCUGUGAAUUAACUGCGUGGGAGGGAAAUUGCUAGGUUAGAUUUAGGGUUAGGGUUAGCUUGACCAGACAAACUUUAGUAAGUAAGAUUUGAUUUUUUUUAUUCAUUACAUAAAUGAUAUAUUUGGUUUAUAUUUUAGACAAGAUACAUCAAUUACUUAAUGAAUCUAAAAAGUUAAAUUUUUCUUAUAAAUAAAACCGGAAGAAGUACCAUGAACAAUAACAAUCUUUCACAGUAAUAUGUUUAGUGCCACGUGAGUCCUGUAUUUUCUAUGUUCUUGUAGGACGUAAAAAGGUUCAAAACUUUGUUUGUUGAGAGAGAAAAUAUGUGUUCCCAUUUAUGGGACAUUCUGAGUAUGAUUGGUGUUAUUGUUUGAUAGUGGGGAGGAGUGAUUGUCUUCUAACUUCUAAGUUCUAACAAUUAGGUUAGGGUUAAAUAUAAAUAAAAUAAAAUAAAUUCAAAGGGGUGGUUGGAUGAUUGGGGUGUGGUAUCCUCAUGGGGGUUGCACGUGAUGUCUCAAAUCACUAACCCGUAAUUAGUAAUUAGUGUUCACAUGAUUGGGUGCAUAAACCAUAUAGAUUCAAUAAUCAUAUUUAUUAGGGUAUAAGUCUUUCUUUGAUGUUGUUUGUAAGAGUUGUACUUCUUCGUUCGUCAGUUUAAUGUACUUUAUCGAUGAAUUUUUAUAGAAAUAUCAUCCGUAAAUUUAAAAGGAGAGGUAAGAACGGAAUACACAUUAUAACGCAUUCAUCAUUUUUUUGGAAAAGCUUAAUAAUCAUCGUUACAAAUACAUAGUCUGAUGCAAAUUUAUACAUGAUUUCUCCCGAAGAAAUAUCUAUCUAUACUAUAUAGUGGCAAGAUAGAUAAAUACACCAUUAUAUCAACACACAACAUUAUUUUUAUUCAUGAAAUAUAUUACUGAGAAAGAGUACAUGGUGCAUGAAGAUAGAUAUCAUUAUGAUCAGUUUUGAGUUUUGUCCUCAGUUUGCUCGGCACCGUGACCACCGUGACCACCUCCACCAUGUCCCCCGUGUCCACCUCCACCGUGGUUGUAACCACCUCCACCGUGGUGGUAACUACCUCCUCCAUGGUUGUAACUACCUCCACCAUGGUUGUAACCACCACCAUAUUUGGCAUCAUUUACUUCAUUAGUCUUUUCCUCAGUUUGCACGGCAACAGAUUCAGCAGCACCAUGACCACCGUGACCUCCUCCACCAUUGUAACCACCUCCACCGUGACCUCCGUGGCCUCCACCACCAUUGUAACCACCUCCGCCAUGGUUGUAACCACCUCCACCGUGGUUGUAACCACCUCCGCCGUGGUUGUAACCACCACCAUUGUAACCUCCUCCACCAUGGUUGUAGCCACCUCCACCGUUGUUGUAACCACCACCACCAUGGUUGUAACCACCUCCACCGUUGUUGUAACCACCACCGCCGUGGUUAUAACCUCCACCAUUAUAACCACCACCACCGUGGUUGUAACCUCCACCAUAGCCUCCAUAUUUGGCAUCGUUUACUUCAUUAGUCUUUUCAACAACUUCUGAAACACGAUAUAUAUGAAUUGUUAAAUCAUUACUUCAAAUAUAUAUGAAUUUAAUGGUAGUGGGUUGACGAUAUAAAAUAACUUUGUAUACAAGACUAAUCAAAAUAUUUCAAGUUUCCCUGCAAAUUAAAAAAUAUUAAUUGAUGUGGUGAUUCUAAAUAUUUUCAAUGGUUUUGUGUGCAAAAAUUUUUUGAACCAUCAACCAACCACCAUUAAACUUAAUAUAUAUAUAUAUAUAUAUAUGAUUAUGUAUUCACACCGGCGUAAUGUUUGAAUAAUUUUACAUUUCUCACAAACUUAUUGAAUAUAGAAUUAUACCAAAUUUAAAAAGACUCACAAUUGAAUAUAUAAUAUAAUUAUAUCAUAUUGAUCAUCUUUGUAAGUUAUGAAGCAAAUUUGAAAUCAUUUUAUAUAAAAUUGAGUGCAUGAAGAUUAACGUUUACAUAGAAAAGAAUUAAUUAUAACGUAUAAAAUUAUAUAAUUAAGUAUAAAAGAAUUAUCCUUCAAAAAAGUAGAAAAGAAUUAAAACAUAUAUCUAAAACGCUCAUGAAAACAUAUAUAAAGAAACAUAAUAUAAUAUAUAGCUCACCCUUUUUAGUAUCAGUGGAAGUUUCAGUUAAGUCCCUAGCGGACAUCACUGAGGAAAUAAGAGCCAUAGCCAAUAGGCCUAGCAUGAGGAUUGCCUUUUUCGAAUCCAUUGUUCAAAUGUGAUAUUUAGUAGUGAACGAUGAGAAAAACUAGUAAGAAGUGUACUCUAUAUAUAAUGGAGGGAAGGAGGGAGAUGUAGGGACCUUCACUUGGCAGUUGAGAAGGUAGCUCUUGUGUAUUAAUUCAUUACUUUGUAGGUUCAUAAUGUAUCUAGUCAUAUUAUAGAUCAGAUACAUUUCAUCAGCAAUUAUAUUGAUGAAACUUCUUCUUGUUCUUGUUCUUGUCGAAUGAGUCUUCAACUAUUGCUUCAUCUUCACCUCUCAUCAGCAAUUCCAACGAGCCUUCCACUUUUUCUUCCUUUUGAAAAUUCAUGAAGUCUUUUUAUUUUUCUUCUCUCAAAUAUAUUCUUUUACUUUUCACUUGAGAUUUUUAACAAUUGCUACUCAUCUUAUUUAUAGAAUUUUAACUCUUCUUAGAACCAUUGUCUAUAACAAAAUUUUGUUUAAAUUUGAAGAUAAUGAGAAACAAACUUUGUUUAAUAAAAAACUUUGUUCCAAAGAGAUAGCAUUAAUUUAGUUUUAUUGAAAAAGAUAAGAGUAAUUGAUAAAGGAUAUAAUUGAAAAAUCGUACGCUUAAAAUACCAAAAAGACAGUUAAAUAGUAACGAAAAAUUCAUCCAAAAAAGACACUUAAAAAGAAACGGAGGGAAUAGUAUUUCAUAUCUUAUUUAUGUAUUAACAAAAAAUAUAAAAUUUUGAUAUUUUAAAAAUAUUCGACAAAUACAAAAAUAUCUUAUAUAUUAUCAUUUGCCUAUAUAAUAUACGAUAGUAAAAAAAAGAUGAUUAAAGUAUGUUAGGUAAAUAAUGCAUUUAGUCACUUGUUUUAGAAUAGAGUAGUUGUAAAGAUUGAAGGCUAUGAAAAUGGAGAUGAGUUAUGUCUACUUGCUAUUGGCUGAAAGUGACAUUUUGAAAGCAUGCUAUUGGUUCAUACUAGCUAUCUCAUCCCAUGGAGAUACAUACAUUCAAACUUAUCCAGACACAUUCAUAAUAUGUUUUCUAUAACUAAACAAAAUUAGCAAAAGAGUAUUACAGAGGUAGACUCUAAACUUUUUAAAGAACAGUGAUGUUGAAUACUUGUUUGAGAAAGUCGUGUGUAGGCAUAAUCAUUUAGACACAAAGUUUAGGCACAUACACAUAAAUAAAUAAAAUUAAAAGAUAAAUAAAAUAGUUACAUCAAUCAAUAUCACUUUAAUUAUUUUCUUUUUAAUGUUUUAUUUCAUAGGUGUGUGCCUAAAUGUGAGAUGUUGGUCUUGUGAUCAAGUUAGAGUUUCUCAACUAGCUUUUACCGUCGUAUAAUUUUAUUUGCUUCAAACGAUUACACAAAUUAAGAAAGAAUCUAUGUUUCUCAACUAUAUUAAGAAAACGAGUUGUUAGAACUAAAAUAUCGAAAUAUAAAAUAUGAAUAAAUGCUUUCUUAAUUCAAAGAGCAAUGAUAUCGAAACAUAAACUUUGCAAUUUGGUUAUUAGUUGAAUAUAAUCCGGAUGUACGAUCUUGGAUCGACGGCUGAGAUUAUUUUUCCGUGUAAAAUUAAUUUUAUAAUUUGAAUAAUUGAAUCACAAAUCAAUGGUCAAGAUUCACUACAUCGUAAAACUGCGUGUUGUUUUUCCAGCAUGGAAUUUGGGUCCCUAUACUCCGAUUCAUCACAAUAAUGAAAUAGAACUAUAAAUAACCUAUCGUUACAGAGGUAAACACAAUUGACUGAACUACAUGCAUGAACAAAAACCAAGUCUUAUUUUCACGUGAUUUUUGUUUCUUUCAUACCGGUUGUGGUUCUAAAACCUUCCUAAUUGAUUCUUACAUCCACCCUUAGCUAAGAUUCUUAUUUGGGACUUGGGAGUGUCACUCCGAAAGUGAUACUAUUAGAGGACACAAUUGAAAAAAUAUAUAUCAUACUGAAAAUUUAAUGUGACAAUUAUUUUACGAUAACUAUUUACAUAUAUGUCACUCAUCGUUUAACGAAAUAUGGUAAUGAUUUUUCUAAACACCAAACAUUUUGUUAUGACAAUAAUAUUUUAGUUUUUAUUAAAUAAGUAACUUUUUUUACAAAGGAAAACUUAGGUGAGUUGGACUCCAAGCAUUAAAAAUAUAGUUACAAAGCACACAUAACUAAAAGAUCUUUAUAUUAACAACGGAGAUUGAACUUACGAUGAUGUCAAUCAACUCAUUAACAACUGAAUCAACAUUCGCUAACGACCACGACCCACGCCUUCCCCUCCCUUACUGUUCAACUGAAGUACUAUGUUGAAUUAAAUUGCCAGCAACAAACGAUAACGAGACUCACCCACUUAUUCGAGUUUUCCUUUUCCUUCAAUUCUAACAAAAUUUAUGCAUUUAAAUAUUUAAUGUUUCUUUGUUUUUUCCUAUAGAUACAAAUUUGCGGGUAUGAGCAUUUAAUGUUAAGCAAAAAUAUCGCCAAAUAACAUUGCAAUUUGUGAAAAAUAUCAUGAUUAACGAUCUACUCGUCCAUGGAUUAACGGCGGUAACAUUGUUGCUGGCUCCAUUAUUAGUAAUUAGUUCUAUGGUCGACUCAAAUGAUCUAAACUGUAAACUUAACUUCAAAUGUUUGCUAGAACUGCAAGACAGAAAAAGAAAGAAAAGAAAAACAUAUGUAACGUGAAAAUUGAAAGUAAGUUCCAGAUUGUAUGAUAAAAAGUAGAGUUGUUUGGUAAAGCCUAUAAUUAGUACCAUUGUUUUAUCAUAAAUUUAUUUUGAGAUAUUUUUUUCUUUUUUGCAUAAUUUUAUUAAAAUUGAGGUGUUGUAAAUAUUUUUAUGAUCUCUUACAUUUAUUAACGGUGGAUCAUUUGGAAAACAUCAAAAUUUCAAUUAUAGCUGCAUAAUUUUUAGUUAGACUUUCUUUACUUCCUGACCAUCAGGGGUGGGAAUAGGUUAGGCCGAGUUAGGCUUUGCAAGGCCUGAGCCUGAUCUGUCAAAUUUUAUGAAGGACUAAGUCUGGUCUGCGGUCUGUCAUAAACUUACUUUUUAGGUCUGAGUCUAACCUUCUGAAAGUUUGAUACGGUCUGCUAGCCUGUUUAAAAGCAUAUUUCAUAUAAACAUCUUUAAAUAAGCAAUGUUAUCUAAGUUUAAAUAGACUAACGAACUAAUAUAUCAAAUAGAUUAAACUCUCUUUUGAUAAUCAACAUGACUUUUUAGAGAAUUUGAUUAUAUAUUGUAUCAUAUUUCAAUUCUACUUUAUAAUAAUACAUUUAAAUAUGCAAAAAUAUAAUGUAUACUAAUAAACUUAAAUUACUAAAUUACUGAAAAAGUUAACAAAUUUUUAUUUUAAUUCAAAGUACAAAAUAUAAUAUAAUAAUAAAUAAUAUUAUUCAUAUUUAGGCUUAAUUACCUUUUUGAUCCUCUAACUAUUUAGUUGGUAUCAGAUUGAUCCUCUAACUAAAAAUUGAUUUAUUUCGGUCCUCUAAGUUUCUCACUGUUAUUACAUUUAGUCAUUUCUGUUAGUUUUAUUCAAAUAAACGUUAGAGUUUGUGUUAUGUGGGUAUCUGACCUCCUGUUUCACACAUACAUAUGAACCAUAACAGUUACCAAUAAUAUCAGUCACUAUUUAAUCAUAAUACCUUAACAAUGAAUAUGACCAAAAUGAUACUAAUAAAUAAAGUUAGAGGACCCAUAUAACACAAACCCCAACGUUUAUUUGAAUAAAACUAACAGAAAGGACUAAAUAUAGUUAUAGUGAGAAACUUAGAGGACCGAAAUAAAUCAAUUUUUAGUUAGAGGACUAAUCCGAUACCAAUUAAAUAGUUAGAGGACCAAAAAGAUAAUUUAGCCUCAUAUUUACUUAAAUAGUCCGGCCUAAUAGGCCUAAAAGGCUUUUAGAAUGACAUGUGGUCUGACCUUUUAAGCUAAAUGGGCUUCUAAAAAAGUCUAGGCCUUCUCUGUUUAGGAAAAAAGUAUGAUCUGGCCUAGCCUAUCGUAUGUAUGCUAGGUCGUAGGCCCCUGUAGGCUGGCCUGACCUAUUCCCAUCCCUACUGACCAUACUCGGAUCACUAAGAUAUUUUUCUCACAAAGAUAGAGAUAUAAGACCGAAAAACACAAUUACGUACACUUAUUCGUAAAACAAUCUUACGUACACUUGUUUGUAAAAUGAGAUCAACCAUGAUAAUAAACAUGUUUUAAUUUCAUAAACAUAUUUAACAUUUUUUUUUAUCACAUCAUUAAACUAUCAUAUAUUAAUUUAUUUAUUUUUUCAUCUUUAUUUUUAAAGCAUACUCCUUUCGUUUUAAAAUAUAAGUAAAUUUUACUUUUUAGGUUCAUUUAAAUAAUGAUGUAUAUGGUUUAUAAUAUGGGUCACAUACAUCAUUAAUUGAAUGAAUUUAAAAAGUAAAAUUUACUUAUAUUUUGAAACGAAGGGAGUAUACAAAAGAUUUUCCAAAUGAGAUAGAAAGAUUUUUCUUUUCAAAUGAAUGAUUGAUCCCAUAUUUAGAGAAGGGGCUAGUUGUUUCCUAUGCAACUAACAAAAUAGACCACUCAUCUGAUAACAAGGAAGUGAGAAGAAUUCACAGAACACUUGGAUAGGUCAUUCAAAAAAAAAAAAAACUAGCAUAAGUCAUUUGGUGCCGCCAUUCAAUUAAUUCAUUUCAUACCGACACUUUGACAAUAUUGAGGCAUCAAAUGCAAUCGUUUUUUAUUUUAUUUUCUAUGAUUAAAAUCGACAUUGUUUUUUGGUGAGAUUCGCAAGUGGCAAGCCACGUAACUGUACAAGUUCAACAUGCAUUUGACUUUAGCAAAACAAAUUUCAAUCUUAGAUUAGAUCACGUGUUUGUUUUCAUUUGUUAGAAUCCAUUUUUCUAGUGUAGUAUCCGUUUAAGAGGAAAUGAAUUUUUAAAGUGAAAAUCUCUCUAACUUUUCUCAAUUGUUAUAUUAAAAUCAUUAAACAUGAAAGAGAAAAAGAGAUAUAAAAUUAUAAAAAAAAAAAUAUUAAACUUAUGUUUUAGAUGUAAUAAUUGAGAAAAAUUAAAACCGUUUCAAUUUUUUUUUUAAAUGGCCAAAUAUUAUUAACCACUAAUAAGCUUGGGUGGUAAAAAAUACAAAGAUUUAUUUCCACAUUAAGAUGGUUGUAGGUUUUUGGGUAAAAUAUGUUUUAAUCAGUCUAAAUAUAUGUGCUUUCAAUUUUAGUCUUACAUAAUUUUAAUAGUAAUUGUAAUUGGUCCUUCAUGUCAAAUGGGUUGCUAUUUGAGGCUUUGAGCUAAAGGAAUUUGAGGGAUUCUUCCAUGCUCACAAGACCAAAUCAAUAGUGAUUGGACAUAAACGCAAAAAGAUGGUCUUUAAAAUAUUCAAUAUUUAAUUAUUCUUUUGGUCCCUUAACUUAUUUUUUGGUUUCGUUUUGGUACCUUAACUAUUAAAAGUUUUAUUUUGGUCCCUUAACUUAUUUUUUGCUUUCGUUUUGGUCCCUUAACUAUUAAAAGUUUCAUUUUGGUCCUUUAACUUACUUUUUGGUUUUGUUUUGGUCCCUUAACUCAUCCUCUGUCAACCACUUUGGUCUUUUAUAUUAGGAUGAAUGUAUUAGAGUUAAGGGACCAAAAUGAAACCAAAAAAUAAGUUAAGGGACCAAAACGAAACCAAAAAGUAAGUUAAAGGACCAAAACGAAAUUUUUAAUAGUUAAGGGACCAAAAUGAAACCAAAAAAUAAGUUAUGGGACUGAAACGAAACUUUUAAUAAUUAAGGAACCAAAACGAAACAAAAAAAUAAGUUAAGGGAUCAAAAGAGUAAUUAAGCCUUUUUUUUUUUUAUCAAUUUCCUCUUUAUUAUUAAAAAACUAUUCUUUUUGUUUGUGUGUCAAACACUUUUUAUUUGGUCAUGUGACCAUAUUAAAAUUUCUCAAGGAAUCAUGACUAGAUACGCCUCGUGGACAUUUUGAUUGACGUACGGUGUUGACUCGUGAAUAAACAUUAGACUCAAUUGUUAUUUCAUAUAUGUAUCAUCGAAAUUUUAGAGACAUUGUUUUAAAACUUACUCUGAUUCAUCAAUUUAUACUUUUUUAAUUUAAACUAUCAUAUGUUUAUUUUAAAAAAAAAUCAUGAAAUAAAAAAAUUAAAAAAAAUAAAAACUCAUGACCAUAUUCUCGAAUCCCAAGUUCCCAAUUUCUUCUACCUAAUUCCAUGAAUAAUAUGAGUGUUUCACAUAUAUGAGUUUGAUUAAUUUUUCACAGUAUUGGGUGUGAGGAAUUUUUCAAGCACUACCGACAAAAGAAAUAGAGAUCACUUCGUCGUUACUUUGCACAACAAUGUCUUAAUCAUUCUAAAAAAACACUCUUCAUAUCUUUAAAUUUAGGCAUUUUCAUGGAAAAGUGAUGUUUGUCUUUAGAAAGUGUACUAAAUUGUCGUUAAGUAGUAAAAUUUAUAAGUUAGUAUCGAUGUAGAUUGUGAAAUCUCAAUUUAACUACUACGAUAAUAGUUUGGAUAUAUACAAUUGGGGGGUGUUUCACUUGGCAAUGGUUGGAUUAACUGUUCUUUAAAGAAAAAGGUAAGACACUGAUUAGGUCAUGAUAGAUCUGCUUCUCUUAAUUACAUAGAAACUUGCCGCCUUGGUUGCAAUUGUUCGAAUAGUUUAGUUUCACGACAUUUGAUCAAAAUAGUUAAGUUAAUUUUUAGUUCACUAACCUUUUUCUCUUGUUACGACCCCCUAAUGUCUUAUGUGAAACUAUAUCAAUUGAAGGCUUGAUUAUAUGCCAAAUUAUUAUCACAAAGCAGUUAGCUCAAGCCCCGAAGCUAAGGUUAGUGGUCAUCGAGACCAAAAUUAGUUUAUGAACAUUCAUAAUCGUAUAAAAAAGCAUUAAGAACAAUUAUAGCUGAAUAAAACCAAGCAAUCAUUUGUAAUCAAAAAACUUUUAUGGUUCGGAUUUUGGGAUAAGGGAGAGAGAGAAAGUGAAAAGUUUAAAUGUAAAACUGUAAAAUGCGGGGAAGGAUGAUUUUUCUUAUAUAUAUCAAAACGAUUCAGAUUAUAUAAUCUGAACCAGUUUUCGUAUUAUUUUAAAUUUCAAAAUCUGAAGGGUAGUUUUAGAAUUUUUAUAUGGUGCGUGGGUAUCUCAUAUUGUAGGAAAAGUAAUAGUCCUAAAAUAUUAUUGGUAGAAAAAUGUAUUGGGCCAUGGGAAAAAAGUUGGACUUUAGUGAAAAGAGUAAUAGAUUGUAAUCAAUUUAAAAAGUAUAUUUAUUUAUUAAUUAAUUAUUCGGUUCAACCGGUUUAAUUAGUUGAACCAUAAACCGGAGUCUUACUGGUUUAAUCUUCGGUUUGGUUUUAAAAACAUUAAUAUAUAUAAUAAUAAUAAUAAUAAUAAUAAUAAUUGUACCAAAAAAAAUAAAUAAUAAUAAUAAUAAUAAAAGUAGUUUGACGACCCAAGAUGACCAAAGACUGACAACACCACCAAAAAGAAUCAAACAAAAAAAACACCAACAUAAAAAAUAAAAAUAAAAACAUCCCAAUGACCCAAACCAAAAGCAGAAUGGACCAGGUCAACUACACCAAAGAGAAAGAAACAUAGGCACCCAGACAAGCCCCCCAAAGCACCCAUACAAGCCCCCCACAUAGCAACUACCGGCUCAAGUAGAGAAUUGCUUCCACCACUCACUCAUAGUGAGGGCAAGGCGAACCAAGGUGGGACUUAUAAAAAAAACCAAUAACACAAAGAGAACUGGGUCUUCAGAACCAAUUCCUCCACAUCUAGAAUCUUACCGACAAACACAAAAUCAUUAAUGUAACAUGUGUCACAUUGCGUGAAUGUUGUAAAUUUUAAGUACUAAUUUUGCUUUCUAUUCAUAAAAAUUGUGACCUUUAACCGAAAAAUUGUGAUAUAUUAAAAAUAUGUAUUAAGAACAGGGCUGACCCAAGCUAUAGGCAAAUUAGGCAUUUGCUUAAGGCCUUGAUUUUUUUUAUUUUUUUUUUACCUAUUAUGCAUGGUACCAAUUUUUUUUAGCGAAUCUCAUAUUUAUUUAUGGUGAUAAAAAAUUUAAGAGAAAUAAUACAAGUUGUCGAAUGAUAUAGCGAUUGAUUUGCUUAAUUUUAUAGAAAGACUUGGUUUUUUUCCAGAUGUGUAUAUUGGUUAUAGAAUAUAAUGUUAACAAUUCAUAUAAUUGUUGUGUCUGCAAAUUUGAAUUUGUUUUACUGUCGAUUCAAAAAGAAUUGUUAAACUAAACCGAUUACAAUAAUUUUGCAUCCAAAAAAAAUCGAAAUCACUUUGAAUAAAAAUAUUAUUUUUGUAAAAAAAAUAUAUAAUUAAUAAUUUCUUUUUUGUACAAACCAUGCUCCAUUUUAGAUUUCGCGUUGAGCAUCAAUAUGUGUUGGAACGGUCCUGAUUAAAAAAGUUUUAUGCUAUGUAUUUUUUUACCAGUGAAUUAUAGAAAUCUCAUCCAUAAAUUUAAAAAGAGAGGUAAUAAGACAAGAUAACACAUUCAUCAUUUUUUGGAAAAGCUUAUCAUCAUUACAAAUACAUAGUCUGAUGCAAAUUUAUACAUGAUUUCUCCCGAAGAAAUAUCUAUCUAUACUAUAUAGUGGCAAGAUAGAUAAAUACACCAUUAUAUCAACACACAACAUUAUUUUUAUUCAUGAAAUAUAUUACUGAGAAAGAGUGCAUGGUGCAUGAAGAUAGAUAUCAUUAUGAUCAGUUUUGAGUUUUGUCCUCAGUUUGCUCGGCACCGUGACCACCGUGACCACCUCCACCGUGUCCUCCGUGUCCACCUCCACCGUGGUUGUAACCACCUCCACCGUGGUGGUAACUACCUCCUCCAUGGUUGUAACUACCUCCACCAUGGUUGUAACUUCCACCAUGGUUGUAACUACCACCACCAUAUUUGGCAUCAUUUACUUCAUUAGUCUUUUCCUCAGUUUGCACGGCAACAGAUUCAGCAGCACCGUGACCACCAUGACCUCCUCCACCAUUGUAACCACCAUGACCUCCUCCACCAUUGUAACCACCGUGACCUCCGUGGCCUCCACCACCAUUGUAACCACCUCCACCAUGGUUGUAACCACCUCCACCGUUGUGGUAACCACCACCACCGUUGUGGUAACCACCACCGUGGUUAUAACCUCCACCAUUGUAACCACCACCGUGGUUAUAACCACCAUGGUUGUAGCCUCCAUAUUUGGCAUCGUUUACUUCAUUAGUCUUUUCAACAACUUCUGCAAACACAAUAUAUGAAUCAUUACUUUAUUUAUAAUUAACUAGAAAAGAAUUUAAAAAAUAUAGAAAAUGCUUGUGAAAGUAUUUAUAAAGAAAAAUAAUAUAUAGCUCACCCUUUUUGGCAUCAGUGGAAGUUUCAGUUAAUUCCCUAGCAGACAUCACUGAGGAAAUAAGAGCCAUAGCCAAGAGGCCUAGCAUGAGGAUUGCCUUUUUUGAAUCCAUUGUUCAAACUUUGUUCAAAUGUGAUAUUUAGUAGUGAACUAUGAUAAAACUAAGUAAGAAGUGUGCUCUAUAUAUAAUGGAGGAGUGAAGUAGGGGACCUUUACUUGGUAGUUGAGAUGGUAGCUAGUGUGUAUUAAUUCAUUACUUUUUAGAUUCACAAUGUAUCUAGUUUAUAUGAUAGGCUAUAUACAUCUUUUAUACAAUUAAUCAAAAAAAUGAAAUUUUAUUUAUAAUAGUGAUCGAAUAGUGUAUAUAUCUAUAAAUUUUAAACUAAAAUAGUUGUUUGAUGAUUUCGAUACCAUUUAUUUUGACUACUUCCUUCGAUCCAAAAUAAAUGAUCUUGUCGAUUGUUUUAAGCAUAUCAAUGCACAUCUUUGAUUUUUAAUACUCUCUUCAUCCUAGAUUAACUGAGUCAUUUGCUCAUUCACACAUAUUAAGAAAAAUGUAUAAAUGAAGGAGAUAAAAAAAUGAUUAUAAGUGUUUUUGUUAUGUAUUUGUGCAUUCUCCACUAUCAUAAAUGCAAAGUAUAAUAUAUUGAAUUGAAAGUGAUGAAAGUAGUAUUAAUUAGAAGAAAAAAUAAUUAAUAUUGUAUUGAAAAAUGAAAUGAAUCAAUUAUUUUAAGACAAUAUUUUUUUACAAAAAGUUCAGUCAUUAUGAGACGGAGGAAGUAUUAUUUAUUUAUGUAUUAACAAAAAAACAUAAAUAAAAAUUGAUAUUUUAAAAAUAUUCAUUGAGACAAAUAAAAAAAUAUCUUAUAUAUUAUCAUUUGUCUUUAUAUAAUAGUAAAAAAAAAAAAAAAAACUAAGUGAAUAAUAGACAUAGUCAAAUAAUUUCAUAAUUGAGAGAGUUGUAAAGAUCGAAGGCUAUGAAAAUGGUGAUGAGUUAGGUCUACUUGCUAUUGGCUGAAAGUGACGUUUUGAAAGCAUGCUAUUGGUUCGUACUAACUAUCUCAUCCCAUGGAGAUACAUACAUUCAAACUUAUCCAAACAAAUUCAAAAUAUGUUUUCUAUAACUAAACAAAAUUAGCAAAAGAGUAUUACAGAGGUACACUCGAAACUUUUUAAAGAACAGUGUUAUUGAAUACCACUCCUUUCAAUUAGAUACAUAUCACAUUUUAUUGAUGAUAUAAAUGUUUAUUAUAAAUAAGAUUAGAUGAAGUAGCCGUUAACAUCUUAUAAUUAUAUUUGCUUGAAAUGAUUACACAAAUUAAGAAACAAACUAUGUUUCUCAACUAUAGGUUCUUUAAUUACUCUAAAUAGUAAGAAAAACAUAAGUUUUUCUGAGGGAGUAGGAAAAACAUAAGUUAAAAGCUUAAUACAACUCAAAUUCCUAGAAUCCCUCGGCUAUGAGUGGAAAGCUUUCGUUUGGUGGAUUUGGAUCCUCUUUAUUGAAAAUUUUCUUCAAUUUUCUCCAUUUUCAAUCUUCACCAUUAAAAUACAACUACUAUUUGUUAGUAUAAUUUAAUUAUCACUUUCUCUCUCAUGAUUGAUGGUUGAGAUUUUACAUGAAAAAAUUUGAGAGAAUUUUCAAUGGAGAGAAUCCUAAUCCUCGUUUGGUUUGGUUUUUUUGGCUCAUAUAUUCAAACCAAGUAAGAAUAAUUCAUUUGUUUUGACUUGGAUUUUACAAAUUUUUUAUUAAAUCCAAAUGAAAGUUAAGUGAUUAAAAAUGGGCCAGCUUGCCUCAAAUAAUCACUCAAGUUGAUAUUUUAAAAUUUAAUAUUUUUUAUAAAUUUUAAAAAAUUAAGUUUUCUUUAAGAAUAUUAUAGAUUUUUUAACAUUAUUUUUUUUAUCAGAGGGAAAUAAAAGACACAAAAGAAAAAAAAAACUAAACAACUCAUUGUCUAAACACCCCAAAGACAUCAGCAAGCAAGUCCAGAUCCAACUCUUUAAGAGGGGAAUUGUAACACCCCGUUUUCCCAAUAUAAAAAUUUCAUAAAUUAAUCAGAGUAAAACACCUUAAACGGAAUAUUACACUUCUUUUCUUAAAAACAUAAAUGGAAUAAUUAUCCUUCAAAUUUCAACAACGUAUUGUCAUACCCCAAUUUUUGACCUAAGGCCCCACUGACACAUGUCACUUGACUCUGAUCGAUCUCUGAUUUUUCAGUGAAAAAAUUCGGCAGGGAGGUAUUUUAAAAUACCUUAUUUUUGAUUCCGAGUCGGACCCUCUUUUCUCUUUUUAUUUUCUUUCUAUCUUUUAUUAAUUUUAAUUUUAAGAUUAGUUACUUUUUUAUAUUUAAUAAUUUUUAUUUUCCAUCUUUUAAUUUUAUUUUUCUUUACAUAAUUUAGUUUAAUUUGUUUUUAUUUUAUUUCGUAUUAGAUUUAUUUUAUUUUUAUUUUUCUUUUUAAUUAAUUAGUGUCCAAAAAAAAAAAACAAAGUGUCAAUAGGUCCAAAAUAAAAUGUACAAGGUCUAAAAAAAUUCAAGUCAAGUGUCAACUUUAACAUUUCUUUUUCAAAAUUCACCAUAAUUGUCCAUCAUUUUCAUUAAACCAAUUUUCCAUUUUUCAUCAACCUCCUCACCUAUAAAUAGAGCCCUCAUUCCACACAAUUUCACACACCAAAAGUUCUCUUGAGUUGUCAAAGAACUUUUCUCUCUUCUCCCUCUUUAGCUUGUGUUGACGAGCUAUUCUUUUCUUCUCCCUCUUUUUUCUGUCCCUUCGGAAUAAGUCCCUUCGGUAAUUUUUGUCCCUUCGGUUGUCAAUUUCUUUUAUUUUCUUGAAUUUUAUUUCUUUUUAGUAUUUUUGCAUUUUUUUUUAUUUCUAUUUAGCAUUUUAAUUAUUUUUAUUUAUUUUCCAGCAAUUAGAAUGUAUUUAGGUCCAAUGUAAAUAUAAAUGAGAAAAGUGUGUGGGUGUGUGUGUCCUUUUAUUUCUUUACCGCCUUAUAUAUAUCCAAAAUUGCAAAAAAAAAAAUAGAUCAGGGAUUUUGUGGUGAUCCAACGUCACUACAAAAAUCCACGCGCUUUUAUUUUUAUUGCUCCGUUAGUUUAAUUUUUAUUUAAUAUUCCAAAAAAACAACAAAAAACAUGCAAAUAAUCAAAAUCACAAAAAUAUUUUCAUAAUAAACCUUGAUCCAAAUCAAGUGACCGCAUUUUUAUUUUCUUUUCUCCAUCAAACUUCAAUCAAUUUAACUUUACUUUUAAGUCUCUUUUUUCAAUAUUAAAAAACACAAACAAAUACUCAUUUGCCACUUGGCUUUUCAUUUUAAAACCUUUUUCAAAACUAAUAAAAAACACUCAACAAAUCAAACGUCAAUUUCUACCCCGAACUACGAGGUUUUGAUCCCUCACGGGUACGUAGGCAGAGGACCAUGUCCUUCCAAAUCAAUAAAAAAUGUAGAUAAUUAGGUCUUUAUUUUUAUCAGUUUAAUUCAUUCUUUUCAAAAAUAAUAAGCAAGUUAUAGCACAUUAAUUAAAUAAAAUCAAGAGGUUCUCGUAGAGUACUACGAAUAUUUAGGGUGCUAAUACCUUCCCUAAAUAUAACCAACCCCCGAACCCUAAAUCUCUCAAUAUGGGGUGUUUUGAACUUUUUUCACCUUUUUCUUAAAAAAUAAAAUGUUCAGUCGUGAAAUAAUUAGCGAGUCAAAAGCUAAUCAAAUAGCCUUGAUCUCCGAAAAAUGACGCGACAGAAAUGGCGACUUCACUGAUGAUGCCCUAAGAGGGUUGAGCCUAACUUGGCUUUAUUUAAUUAUUUGUGCUAUAACUUGCUUAAAACAAAAAAUAAAAAUGAUGGAAAUACUUGUAUAUUUGUUCUCUCUUCUUCUUUCUUCUUUCUUCUUUCUUAAACGUGAGUGGUGAGAUAAGUUCUACACCCGGACUUGAGAGAAAUAUAAGAUAGGAGUGGUAGACUCAUAGUGGCAUACCGGGAGUAUACUCGUGUCUAGUCACAUGUGAGAUAACCACACUUAGCGGAGGAGCUUGAAGUGAUAUAUGUCGGCGUGUGUUUUCACGUUUAGACUUUAUUACUCUUAAGUUUCCAAUGAAGCUAAGGACCUUUAGUAACCCUUAACCCAUCCUGGCCUUUUAGGACGUAGUGCGGUGGCUAACCGGAUGUUUUCUCGAAACUAGUCGACACGCGAUACUACACUCAAAUGAGACUUUCCUACGAACGUUGUUGGACCGGGUGUUUUCUCGAUAUCCGAUAAUAUUCGGAAGUAGUCGAGGACUUUGGGAACUUGGUAGAACCCGUGAUACAGGUACAUUUGAAACCAUAGUCCCUACCAAAUGGCGUUGUUAUCCUUAAGCUCCAACAUUAUGGACUUAACCUCACCAUGCAUUCCAUGUUCCUUAGCAUAAUCAUGCAUACAUGCAUUCAUUCAUAAAACUUUUGUUCUUCUCACUAAUAUCGAAGGACUUAGAUAAGUUCUUGUAAACAUCAAUGAUAUGGACCUUGUAAGAAGGAACACCUACAACUUCAAAAACCUUAACUAAGCUUUAGCUUUUGUUAAGAAUUUUUUCCUUGGUUUCGUUCUUACUUUUGAAAUGGGAACCAAUUGCAACAUCUUCACAAUUUUCAAAUAAAACAAUGUUCCUUAUCAAGUUUACAAUUACUUUGACAAGUCCUUCAAAAAAAACAAAUGUGUCUAUUUUUGCAUAAGCAUAGCAUGCAUACAUAAUUUCAAGUCUGAGUCUUACACUGUGUCUUUUCUACUAAAGGUCAAUCCAUCUCAAAGGUGUCCCAACUGUCCUCGUCCAAAGUCAACUCGCACCUACAACACUCGGGCAAACAAAAAAAGAGAACGUAUCAGUUUGAACAAGAAAUCCACGAGCAUUCGUGAAGAGGUAACAACACUAUUGACGUUCCUUCCGCUACUUUUUGUUCAAUUAAUGUUUGUUUGUUGAUUUUCGCUUUUCAAAAAAAAAAAAAAAAAACAUCCUUUCGUCCCGCCUGAGAUGAAAUUGAUCUUGUGUAGGGCUUUUUGCUUUAAGUAUUGGUCAUCUUUAAUAAAAAGGUCGUUUUAAUCCCGACUUUAUUUUAUUUUGUGCUUUUUCUGAAAAAUGGUAAUACAAAAAACCAAAAAGAAUUUCUUUAAUCAUUCGCAUAUAUCUGCAUAAUCAUAGCUUGUACUUACUUGUCAAAAUCAAUAAUCAAAUCAUGCAUUAAUAAACCCGUUGAACAUAAUAACCAUGUACUCUCUCCCAACUUUGAGUUCUCUGUGACCGAAGAUAAGGAAGAGGAGAAUGAAGAGGCUCCCAGCAAGAUCUCUCGCCCACUGAGGCAUCUUAGCCGUCAAAGCUGCAAACAAAAUAUCAAAGAAGAUUGUCCAAAAAAAUUGCUUUCAUUUACAAAGACUGGCACGAGAUGCUACCACUUGCACUUCAUGAGUAUUGUCCGGUAGUACACACUUCAACAGGGGCAACCCCCUCCUUCCCUCAAGUAUAUAACUUAAAGGUCGUGCUUCCUAUGGAGGUCGAAGUCCCAUCAAUAGGAGUUCUGCUGGAGUCCCAACUUGAUCGAACUAAAAUGUGUGACGACCUUGUGCAUCUAUAUCAAAAAGAGGUUUGAAACAAACUUCCAACAAGAAGGUUUGUCCCCGUGAAACUCAAGAAAGAGACUUUGUGCUCAAAAAGAUACUAUCUUUCCAACCAGACUCCAGGAGCAAGUGGACGCCUAACUAUGAAGGCUCAUGUGCAAUGAAUUUUACAACUAUGGAUGGUGACAAACUUGCACUUCCUAUGAAUGUCGGUGUAGUCAAGAAAUACUCUGUCAAAUAUAAAAGCUCGAUAAGUCGCAAACCUGAAAAGGCGGCUUAGGCAAAAAUGAGCGUCUCGGUGGACUGAAAACCCAAAAGGGUGGUCCAGGCAAAAGUUAGAGACAUGAACAAAAAAGAUUAUCCUGAUAGACCGCAAACCCGAAAAAACGAUCUAUGCAAAAGUUAAGGAUCAAAAGACAAAGUAACUGCAUCCGGUCAGGCACAGUCCACUUGGGGCAUCCAGCUAUCAAAAGACCGCCGAUACGAAGCAUCUGCAGAUCAAAGACUCGAAACAGGGGCAUUCAAAGUUGUUAGGGAGAAUAGCUGUUAUUGUUUUCAAUGUACCAUCCCAUACAUUUACCAUUUUCCAAAUCUUUCAAAGAUCCGUGGAGCCAUGCCAUUGGUAGGUCACCACUCAAUUCAUCAAAUUUGAUCCUAUGCCUAUUUGUUUGGAACUCUCAUUUAUUCUAUUUGCAAAAUUUCUUCUACUUUUUAUGGCAAUACUUAAAGCAAAAAUUUUCAAAAAAAAAAAUACAAAAACUUUUUUUUACAUCUUUUGAAAAGUGUGAACAACAAACACACUCUCUUUGAACUCAUGAGUAGAUGAAGCAUACAUCAACAUCCGCCUCGAAGACGGUUACAUUCCGAAAGAGAAACAUGGCUAAGCGUUAUGGAAAGAACCUCUGCCUUGAACAAGAUGUUGUCACAGUCAAAAAAAAUAUAUACAAAAAAAAAAAUACAAAAAAAUCAAAGCUCGCUAAGUUGAAAACCUGAAAAGGUGGCUUAAGCAAUAGAGAGCGUCCCGGUGGACUGAAAACCCGAAAGGGCGGUCCAGGAAAAAAUUAGGGGCACAAAAAAGAAUAUAAUCCCGGUGGACUGAAAAUCUGAAAGGACGGUCCAGGCAAAAGUUAGAGAUUUUUUUUUAAAAAAAUGACUGCUGAAACAUACCAAUGGAGGAACACUCUGUGCCAGUUCACAAAUGGCGACUUCUUCCAGACUUUUUAUCAACGAUGGGCUUUACCCCCAGGAGGCAUCAGUUGCUCCUUGUGUCGGGUCUUACACCGUCAACGGCUCGUUUUGUUCACAAUAAUAUCAUCUCCAAUGAAGUUUGCCGAGUGCUUGUGCUGCGAUAUCAGUUCGCCUCCAAUCUUACAUGUCCUGUCUCGUUUCAUCGAGUCACUUGUCACAUAGAGUUUAUAUAGUCAUGCAAGUUGUACAUUCAUAACAUUUGUACAUUCAUAAAAUUCGUACAUUCAUACAUUGAUGCAUACACCAUAUAUAUAUACAACAUCAUUCACACAUGAUUGCAUUAGUCACCGAGAGUCUUGUUUAGCCGUGUCUCUUUGGUUAAUCCUGACCCAAACAGCAAGUGGCAGUUUCUUCAUAUGAACAGCUUGCAAUUACAAAUUCUUUUCCUCUCAAAAGUGUCAUCCCCAAUAUAACUGACCAAGUUGUCUUCUCUAAAUUUACCUUUGUUAAGCUAUCUUUGUGUGAUAUUUAGGUAAAACUUGUCAAUCGUCUUUAUUAAGUUAUCAUUUCAUCGAUAGUUAGACGAUGUUUUUCUCUCAUUCUUACCUUUGUUAAGCUAUCUCAUCGAUAGUUAGGUAAAAGUUAUCAGUCGUCUUUUUAAAGCUAUCAUUUCAUCGAUAGUUAGACGAUGUUUUUCUCUCAUUCUUACCUUUUUUAAGCUAUCUCAUCGAUAGUUAGGUAAAAGUAUCAUUUGUCUUUGUUAAGCUAUCAUUUCAUCGGUAGUUAGACGAUGGUUUUUCUUUCAUUCUUACCUUUGUUAAGCUAUCUCAUCGAUAGUUAGGUAAAAGUAUCAUUUGUCUUUGUUAAGCUAUCAUUUCAACGGUAGUUAGACGGUGGUUUUUCUCUCAUUCUUACCUUUGUUAAGCUAUCUCGUCGAUAGUUAGGUAAAAGUAUCAUUUGUCUUUGUUAAGCUAUCAUUUCAACGGUAGUUAGACGGUGGUUUUUCUCUCAUUCUUACCUUUGUUAAACUAUCUCAUCGAUAGUUAGGUAAAAGUAUCAUUUGUCUUUGUUAAGCUAUCAUUUCAACGGUAGUUAGACGGUGGUUUUUCUCUCAUUCUUACCUUUGUUAAGCUAUCUCAUCGAUAGUUAGGUAAAAGUAUCAUUUGUCUUUGUUAAGCUAUCAUUUCAACGGUAGUUAGACGAUGGUUUUUCUCUCAUUCUUACCUUUGUUAAGCUAUCUCAUCGAUAGUUAGGUAAAAGUAUCAUUUGUCUUUGUUAAGCUAUCAUUUCAACGAUAGUUAGACGAUGGUUUUUCUCUCAUUCUUACCUUUGUUAAGAUAUCUCAUCGAUAGUUAGGUAAAAGUAUCAUUUGUCUUUGUUAAGCUAUCAUUUCAACGAUAGUUAGACGAUGGUUUUUCUCUCAUUCUUACGUUUGUUAAGCUAUCUCGUCGAUAGUUAGGUAAAAAUAUCAAUCGUCUCUGUUAACCUAUCAAUACGAUAGUAGACAAUAAUUUUCCCCAGUGAAACUUCAUUCCCCUAGCAGAGUCGGACCCCUUUUUUCUUCAACGAAUUCGGGUAUCCCGUUGUUAUUUCUCAUUCGAGUCAAAUCAUCCUGCAUUCAUAAAUUGCAUCACAUGCAUCCAUAGCAUCUUAGGUCAAAUAUUGUGUACUUUGUAUUUAAGUCUCUUCGACUCGUCAAAUCAAAGAUUUCAUCUUCAAAUCUCCGGACGAAGAAACUUAAAUAGGGGCAUCUGUCAUACCCCAAUUUUUGACCUAAGGCCUCACGGACACAUGUCACUUGACUCUGAUCGAUCUCUGAUUUUUCAGUGAAAAAAUUCGGCAGGGAGGUAUUUUAAAAUACCUCAUUUUUGAUUCCGAGUCGGACCCUCUUUUCUCUUUUUAUUUUCUUUCCAUCUUUUAUUAAUUUUAAUUUUAAGAUUAGUUACUUUUUUUAUAUUUAAUAAUUUUUAUUUUUCAUCUUUUAAUUUUAUUUUUCUUUACAUAAUUUAGUUUAAUUUGUUUUUAUUUUAUUUCGUAUUAGAUUUAUUUUUAUUUUAUUUUUAUUUUUCUUUUUAAUUAAUUAGUGUCCAAAAAAAAAAACAAAGUGUCAAUAGGUCCAAAAUAAAAUGUACAAGGUCUAAAAAAAUUCAAGUCAAGUGUCAACUUUAACAUUCCUUUUUCAAAAUUCACCAUAAUUGUCCAUCAUUUCCAUUAAAUCAAUUUUCCAUUUUUCAUCAACCUCCUCACCUAUAAAUAGAGCCCUCAUUCCACACAAUUUCACACACCAAAAGUUCUCUUGAGUUGUCAAAGAACUUUUCUCUCUUCUCCCUCUUUAGCUUGUGUUGACGAGCUAUUCUUUUCUUCUCCCUCUUUUUUCUGUCCCUUCGGAAUAAGUCCCUUCGGUAAUUUUUGUCCAUUCGGUUGUCAAUUUCUUUUAUUUUCUUGAAUUUUAUUUCUUUUUAGUAUUUUUGCAUUUUUUUUUAUUUCUAUUUAGCAUUUUAAUUAUUUUUAUUUAUUUUCCAGCAAUUAGAAUGUAUUUAGGUCCAAUGUAAAUAUAAAUGAGAAAAGUGUGUGGGUGUGUGUGUCCUUUUAUUUCUUUACCGCCUUAUAUAUAUCCAAAAAUGCAAAAAAAAAAAAAUUAGAUUAGGGAUUUUGUGGUGAUCCAACGUCACUACAAAAAUCCACGCGCAUUUAUUUUUAUUGCUCCGUUAGUUUAAUUUUUAUUUAAUAUUCCAAAAAAACAACAAGAAAACAUGCAAAUAAUCAAAAUCACAAAAAUAUUUUCAUAAUAAACCUUGAUCCAAAUCAAGUGACCGCAUUUUUAUUUUCUUUUCUCCAUCAAACUUCAAUCAAUUUAACUUUACUUUUAAGUCUCUUUUUUCAAUAUUAAAAAACACAAACAAAUACUCAUUUGCCACUUGGCUUUUCAUUUUAAAACCUUUUUCAAAACUAAUAAAAAACACUCAACAAAUCAAACGUCAAUUUCUACCCCGAACUACGAGGUUUUGAUCCCUCACGGGUACGUAGGCAGAGGACCAUGUCCUUCCAAAUCAAUAAAAAAUGUAGAUAAUUAGGUCUUUAUUUUUAUCAGUUUAAUUCAUUCUUUUCAAAAAUAAUAAGCAAGUUAUAGCAUAUUAAUUAAAUAAAAUCAAGAGGUUCUCGUAGAGUACUACGAAUAUUUAGGGUGCUAAUACCUUCCCUAAAUAUAACCAACCCCUGUCAUACCCCAAUUUUGGACCGUUUAAAAACUCUUGUCCGUAUUUUAAAUUUGUUCACAUUCCCAUUUAUUCGUUGUUUUUUACCAUUUAAAGUUCGUAUUUCUUGUCUUUAGUCAUUCAAAAAAGUUUUUUUACGUUAAAUCAACGUUCGCGUUUCACAACGUUUAAAACCGUCUCACUUUCAUUUUUACGUCGCAUAGUCUUUUUUUUAAUCGUAACGAUCACGUCAAAAAAAGAGAAGGCCUAAUCGCUUUUUUUAAAAGGCGUUUUUUCUUAUUAAUCAUUUCAAUCGAAAUUUCGGCAGGGAGGAUACUUUGAAAUACCUCAUGUCAGAUUCCGAAGGGACUUUUUAUUUUUAUUUUUUUGUCUUUUUUAGUUUGUUUAUUAUUAUUUUAUUUUAUUAUUAUUAUUUUUUUUAUAAAAAAAAACAAAACAAAGAAAAGAAGAAGACAUACGUCUUCCCUUUCUUCUUUUUCUUUUUCUUUUCUUUUUCUUUUUAUUCAUUCUUUUUAUUUUUAUUUAUUUAUUUGUUAAGCCUUUGUCCCCAAGUCUCAGCUGCAGGGGCAUUUUGGUCAUUUGUUUGUACCAGAGCCAACCCUAAUUUGUCACUAUAAAAGCCUGUCAAUCAUUGGGAAAUGGGCCAGAGAAAAAAUUACUGUUCAUGAGUCAGAGAAAAACACUAUUCACGUCAGAAAAAGUCAGUCAACAGCAAUCAUACUCACAAACAAUCUCCAAACUUCUCUCUCCAAAAUUUUGGAUCAAAAACCCAAAAUUUCAUGAACUCACAUGAACCACAUCAAGAACACAUGAACCUCAAUCAUUUUCAGAAACACACAAUAACAACAUAAACACCUCAAACCAUUCAUACAACCACAAAUCAUCAUCAUUCCAAACAAAACAAAUCCGAACCAAAACAGAGCCAAACGAACCGGAGUAGAGGAGAGCCAACCGAACCGGAAAAGAACCGGAGCCGAACCGGAAACAAGGAAGAACACGCGAACCGGAAGAAGGAAGAAAAGGAGAGAACCGGACUCAAACUAGGAGGAAAGGAAACCGGAAAAAGAGGUAAAAAUUUCACGUUUUUCAUUUGUAGAUCUAGGAUUUUUGGUGUAUGUUUUCGAAAUUUUGAGCUUGGAUUUGUGUAGAGGAAGGGAAGAGGAGUAUUUUGAUGUAAAAAAAAAUUUCAAAAAAAGCAAAAAAAACUCCGGCGCGGCGGCGCUCCGGCCGACCGCCGCGCCGGAGCAGCUCCGGCCGCCCCUCUUCUUCUUCUCCGGCCGCGUGUGUUUUUGUGGGAGGGGAGAGCUUCUCUCUCUAAGUUGUAACUUAGAGAGAGAAAGUUUUUGUGUUAUAUUUGUUUUUUUGGUAAAACCCCUUUAUAUAGCCUCAUUACUUUAUUUUAAUUCCAUGCGUAUCGUUCCACUGUAUUAUCGUGUAUGAUCACAGCUAGACCGUCAGAUUGUAGAUCUAACGGUCGAUGAUGCAGCUUGUUUUUGGUUAAGUGUUUGUUCUUUUGGGUGGAAUAUUGUGUGCCUGCUGUUGAACCGUCAGAUCGUUGAUCUGACGGUCACUGUGCUUCCAGUAUAUCCUUCCUUUCUUGCUGUUUAUUUUUAAACCGUUGGAUCUUAGAUCCAAUGGCUAUGAUGAAUCCAGGGGUUUGAACUUGGACCAUUGAUUUAAUCCAAUGGUUCAGAAUUAAUCCUGCUGAGCCAAUUUGUUUAUUAUUUUCAUUUGUUAUUGUUUCUAUUUUUUAAAUGCUGUUUUUUUUUAUUUCUUUUUGACAUUUUAUGUUUAGAAAAAAAUUCCAAAAAAAUGUUUUUUUCUCACUAUUUUAAUUUUCUAUCAUUGUUAAAAAUCCAUCCUAUUUUUUUCUUUUAAUUUGUUUUUUUUUACUUAUUAUUUAUUAUUUCUUAUAUGAUGAUCUUAAAUGUUUUUUUUUAUUAUUUUUAUUUCUUGCUUAUUAUUUCUUAUGUCUCAUUCAUCAUAAUAUUUCUUGUGAUCACUAACCAUUUAAUUUUUGUCUUAGAUCAUAGCAUGCAUAUUAAAUUUUCUCAUCAUUUUAUCUUGUCAUUGGAUUAGUAUGUAUAAAUAGGGAAUUGAUGUAAUUUUAUUUCUUGCAUUUUAUUUUGGCAUAAAGGCCUUAGGGUUGUAUUUAGGAAUUGAUGUAAUAAUGUAGGUAACACAAGCACCGACACAUACACCGACACUACCACAUUUUAUUUACCGCUUUCCGUUAUUUUUUUUUUACGACGUUACGUUAGUUCUCACUGUUAGUUUAGAAAAAAUCAUUUUCACAAAAAAAUCAAAUAUGUCAAAUUCAAAAAUAUUUUUUCUUAGCAACAUUUUCCCUUUAUUUUCUUAAUCAAAUUUUUAAUCAAUUUUAAUUCAACUUCAAUCAUUUUCAAAAAUUUAAAAUCAAUCAACCUCACUCAUUUCUUUUAUCUCAUGCCUUGAGGCCUCUUUCUCUUCUUAAAACCAUUUUCAAAAAUCUUAAAAUCAACCUAACCCACCAAAGAAAUUUUUGAGUGGAACUACGUCGGUUUUGAUCCCUUUCUCAAAAGGGUACGUAGGCAGAGGACUCGUCCUUCCAAAUCAAAUAAAAAUAAACCAAAAACAUACUUCUUCUCCCUCCAUUCUUUCACUUAGACAUUAGGCAAUAAUUUUUCAAAUGAACAAGUAUUUUAGCACAAGAUAAUCUAGGUAAGAGGUUCCUACGGAAUACCGUAGAUGCUUAGGAUGCUAGCACCUUCCCUUCGCAUAACCAACCCCCGAAUCCAAAGUCUCGAAAAGGGUUUUUACUCAUUUUUUCCCUUCCCAAGAAUAAAAAUCGAGAGUUCAAAGAUUGACGAUUCAAAUCAAUUAAUGGUUUGAUAUCCAAAAAUCGCGAGCACAGAAAUGGCGACUUACCCCCGAACCCUAAAUCUCUCAAUAUGGGGUGUUUUGAACUUUUUUCACCUUUUUCUUAAAAAAUAAAAUGUUCAGUCGUGAAAUAAUUAGCGAGUCAAAAAUCUAAUCAAAUAGCCUUGAUCUCUGAAAAAUGACGCGACACGUAUUAAUCAAAACUUUGUAGCAGAAUUAAUUCAACGACAAUAAAAGCUCUAACAACAUGUUUCAAAAUUGAUACAUAAAGGAAUGAUAAACAUCGUAACAAUUUCCCAUCCUGUUACGUAUCAGAGCCCUAAGACACUUGAGCCACCUCUCCUACUAAGCUUCAUUACCUGCAAGUUACCCAUACGAAGGGCAACAUUUUCAAGCAGAAGGGGUGAGAUCUCUCAAACAAUAAUAAUAAGCAUAUAAUUCAUCAAUUACAGUUAACAACAUAGACAUCAUCAAAUCCACCCAAUAAUAAUUUUUCUUAACAUCCCCUUAGUACUCAUGAAUAGAAGACAACUUAGCCACUAUGCAUCAACGUUAUCAAUUCAUAACAAUAAUUAUUCAUCAACCAUCUCAUUAGCAAAACAUGAAUAAGGAACAACUUAUCAACUUAACAUAAUCAUCAUUAAGUACAUUUAACAACUCAUAGAUAACAUCAUGUAACAUCAAAACAGCCUCUCAUUCAACACUAUAAACAAUCAUCAUAACAUCGUCAUAAUCAUCAACAUAAACAACGUAAGAGUACACCACCUCUUAUAAACAACAACGUAAGAGUACACCAUCUCUUAUAAAACGACCAAGUAAGAGUACACCACCUCUUAUAAAAAAAACGACAAAGUAAGAGUACACCACCUCUUAUAAAACGACCAAGUAAGAGUACACCACCUCUUAUAAAAAAAAACGACAAAGUAAGAGUACACCACUUCUUAUAAAACGACCAAGUAAGAGUAGUACACCACCUCUUAUAAACAACAAUGUAAGAGUACACCACCUCUUAUAAACAACAAUGUAAGAGUACACCACCUCUUAUAAAACACCUGACAUAAACAAUCACCAACGAUGGCUACAACUACGACAUCAACAACAACACCAACGAUGAUGACAACAUCGACAAUUUGCAUAACAUACUUAUGACUUAUUCGGCAACGUACAACCCAACAACGCUUACAACUUAUACCAACAUUAGAUCUUCAUGAUAUUAAUAUGUCACAACCGCAAGACAACACCAUUAAAUAAUAUGCAGCAAGUCAACAUUAAUAAUAAUCAUCAUAUAUAACAAUUACAAUUUCAUAUCAACGUCUUUCACAAUAUAUAAAUAUUUUCACAUUUAAUCAUCAAAGUAAAUCAUCAUUAUUAAUCAUCUUGUUCAUCCUCUCUGAACCUCAUUAUAAUCAUUAACAACUUCAUUCCAACCCCAAGGGUCGACUCACAACAUAAGUUACAUACUCUUAAACACCCUAAUUGAACUCAUAGUACUUCUAGUUUUGAGCUUUGGAAUUAUCCCAUAAGUUUUGGAUUAACUUAGAAACGGUUAUACUGAAUUUUCAUAAGAUUUCACUAAGACCUCCUUGGAGUAUUUUCAUCAUAUCUCAAAAACAAAAAAUCAUUUUCAAGUGAAACCAAAGCCAUUGGAAAGCUAACAAAAUUAUCUACAACUUUCAUGUUUACACCAAAGGUCAACUCAAAACAGAAACGUGUGAAAAAGACGGAAGAACAUGAAACAGGGUAAGCAUCAGACAUACUGAAAUUUACAGAUUUUCUGUCAAAAUCGCCUCACGAUCACUGGGAUCGCCUCACGAUUUUGACAGCAUCAUACAUGCUGAUAUUACAGAUUUUUCUGCGAUUUUCUACCAUGGGAGCCUCCUUGACUCCGUUUUUUAACCCUAAACUCUCCAAAAUCAUCCAUAAUCAUCACCAUAUGAUUACCCUAUCAUUGAAACGUUAAUCCAUCACUAACCUACCCGAUUAACCACUCUUUUCACCGUUCCAUUAUAUGGUUUCUACACUUUUCAUUCAAAAGUCAAUAAUCAAAACCUAAUCCCAAUUCUCAAAUUUAACCACAACCCCUUGCUAAAUCAAAAUCAGAAUUAUACAAACUAUAAUCAUUGAGAGUUAGCCUCACCCUUACCUUAGAUUGAUGAACAAAGCUCUACACGAUCUUCUCUUGGAUACUAUUGGCUCCCUCUUGGUUUUUCUCCCAAAAAGCUGCUUCCACGUGAAAAUGUUUUCUGACUUCCCUCUUUUCUUUUCUAAACCUAAUUCAACUUCUUCUAUUUCCGCUUAAUCCCACACAACUCUCCUUAUUUCUAAAUCAGCCCCUUGAACUCCAAAUAUUCUAAAUUCCCACUUAUUCUAUUAAAUAGUAAAAUAACACAUUUAAUAAAAUAUAACACACCACAUAAUCAACAAUAAUUAUUUAAAAUCAUAUAUAAAAAGACUUUAAAUCAACCAAUAAUAAUUAAAUAAAAUUGGGUCGUUACAGGAAUCCCAUAACUUCGUGACGUCGACAUUCUUUACACUUAAUUAUCAAUCAAUCAACACAUUAGAUGUCUUCUCUUAAAGUAUGAUUAAAGAAAACCAACCAAAAAAGACAAAUGGACUUCCUAAUGAGGGAAUAUAAGUUGCAUGAGGAUGGAAAUCCUUAUGAUGGAAAUCAGUGAUCAAGUCUAACGCUGACUUAGUUAUUCUUAUACUAUUAAAAUAAGUAUACAGUUACAAUGAAAAAAGAUAAAAUAUAAUGACUAAAAAAUACAUGAAAUUAACAUAUUUGUAAUAUAAAACUAUUAAUAGGGCAUGAUAUUUAACAAUAAGGAAAAAUCAAUCCUUCAACUUCCGGAUAAACUUAAGUUGUUUUCUUUUUGGUGGUUGAAGGCAAAUUUAUAUGCUAAUUUUAUUUUAGGUUAUCAUAGUUGAUGGAUUUUCUCUUUUGUUUGCUUGGGUAAUGGUUAAUUUCUUUAUGUUUUGUUUUGAUAGGAAAAUGUUUGUUUUGGUAGUAAUAUGUUUUAUUUUUCCUUGUUUAAAAAGAGAUAUAGUAUGAAAUAUAAAUAAUUAGUGAUAAAAUAUAAUAUUUUGGUUCGAUUUACAGGUGAUUUGUUUUAAAUGAUCUGAAAACGAUAUUCAAACAAUAGUGAUCAAAUUUGAUUAGUGUGUGUGAUUCAGGUUAUACAUACAUGAGCAUAAAAAACACCAAUUUAGUUUAUUUGCAUUGAAUGUUUGCAUUCUACGAGUUAUUGGUUUGAUUCUUACACCUCAUCAUAAACAAUAUAGCAUAUAAUAUUUAUUUAUUUUCCUCUUUGUAUUAAAGGGUAUACAAAACAUUUUUCAAAUGAGAUAACAAGAUUUUAGUUUUCAAAUGAAUGGUUGAUUCCAUAUUUAGAGAAGGGGCUAGUUGUUGCCCAUGUAAUUAAUAACACAAGGAAGUGAGAAGAAUUCACAG
rnacentral:lncRNA from 1 species